rnacentral:lncRNA from 1 species
CUAAAAUAUGAUGUAUUUUUUUUACUGAGCAGCAUACUCUUCAUGUCUAUCUUCGUUAGCAUGUAAUAAUUGUAUAUGAACAAAGACAGCUCCAUAACUGAACAACUAAUUGCUUGCUCAAUUUCCUCGGGUGUUAGUUUGUUCUUAAUCCUGCACUUAUUACAAUGCGUUAUGAGAUUCUUUGAUACUUCUAGCAUCUCAAGUCCAUUGUCUUUUUUUUUCCUCACUUUCUUUCGUUACUAUGGUGAAUAGUCUUUGCAUUUUCACUAGCAAUUUUGUUGUACGGUCUUUUAUAUUAUGAUUUCUUGGUGUCUUUUUUUUUUUGUUACAGAAGGUGCCUAAAAGUCACAAACAAAACAAAGACUAGAACAAGGACAAACGUGGCCCGUGGAUCACAUUGUACCGAUACUGUCCCAACUUAACCACCUUUAAGGUGUUGGAUUUUAAUCACAAAAUGCCUUGGUACAAUUAAAUGUGAUCCAUCCACUUAUAAGUUGUAUUUUAUUUAUCCUUUUUCCGAUGUGGGAUCUUUCCUCUCCAACACAAAGGAAGAAACUAAACAUUACAGCAGUAGCCAAAUCUUCUGGCUCUAGUAACAGCACGUAAGUCAUCAAUAAAAACUUAGACAACAUGAAUAGGAGGCUCUUCAAAAACGAUCAAACCAAAUUUCUUUGUGUUUUUUCACACAUUGGCUUGAAUUUAUCUUGCCAUUUCUGUUUUUUUAUUCAACAUCAACCAUCAAUGGUAUAUGGUUAACAAUCUUUCCAUCAUGUAUAAAUGGAUGAUUCGGUAUUUGGUCAUGAUAUUCCUUGCAUAAAACAUUAAAAAGUUUGAUGAUAUUAUUCAGUAUGCAUUAUAUGGUCUUUUAUUAUCUGUUGUUGCUAUAUUUGUUCAGACCUAGGCCUCAUUCUCAAUGCUAUGAAGCAAGGAAAAAUCUCAUCUAAGAGUAACAUAAUAUGGGGCAUCUUACCUGAAAUUUUUGGAUUAGCUCUUGCCUGUAUUCAGUGCAGUAGCUUAGCGCUGCAAUUUUCAUUUCUUUACAGGCAUGUUGCUAAUCCUUUGAAAUUACCUUUAGUGCCUAGGUAGAAGUCUGUGUCUCGAGUAGAGAAUGACUAGUAUUUUAUUGUAAAAAAGUUUGAUGUGUAGACCUAAUAUAGUUUGUUCUUUUACAAGCCACACAAUGAAGUCUUAUACUAAACUGAGAGAGAGACAGAGAGAGACAGAGAGAUCGAGUCAUCGCUAAUCUUGUAUAGCCUUAAGCCAUUGUUAAUCCAGUGGAGCCUCAAGUAGAUAAUCUAGUGGAGGCUCAGGUUCAAAUCCGCCAAUCUAUUCAAGAGUUUUUGGAGCUUGAACCACUUACUACUGGCCAAGCUGGCUACUGUGAGGACUGCAGACAAAUUGUGGAUAAUUUCCAGAAGUAUUACCACAGAAGUCAUAAGAAAAAUGUAUGUUUUGUAUGCAAACGGAUCUUUAAGUAUGACAAAAAAGUCGGUGGACAAUUUCAAAGGAAGACAUCAGCAAAAUUGCAGGUUUUGUGAGAAGGACAAGUGCACCUCUGCUAUCACCCCAAAGGCAUAGGUGCACUCUUAUCCUUAGCUCUAGGCUGUACAGAUACAGAGCUAGCUGCCCAACUGUAUUCAGAGGUUUGUUAAAGGGGAAAUUCUAUGGUACCUACCCGUAUGUGAUACCUACAUUUACAAAUGUGACAACAUAUUUGUAGUCAAAGUGGUAAUGCUGAGUCGUAUUGUUUGUAAUCUUGUUCUAAUAAUUGUAAUUACAAAAUGUACAACCAUUUUACAACUUUUUGAACAAAUUGUUCUCAUAGUUGCAAUUUUGUUUAACUUCAUGUAAAUAAUGUGAAUAAAUUUGGUAAAUUUGUUCUCGAUGUUGUAAUUUGAUUCAUAACAUUGUAAUUUUUGUUCAAAUACAUGUACAAUAAAGGUAAGAUAUACAUCCCAGUACCAUAGCUUGUCUCUUGUUAUAGAAGUGUUGAAGUAUGGAAGUUGAAUGUGACACUAGAUAAAUAUUUAAAUAUUAGUAACACAAGUUGAAGGAGAUACUUGUAAAUUUAUACUAUAUACUAAUUGCGAGUUUGCUUGUGAACAGUAUAUGUGAGUAGGAAAUGACAGUUUUAUCCCUUUUCGUAUUAAUUUCAUGUAUGCCCUUAUCUUAAAUUCUGACAUACGAAUUUACCUUUUUGUCCAUCCUGUGAAAUCAUACUUGGAAAAAGUACAUUUCAUAAUUUCGAUUAAGUGAUCCAAUUCCAUGUAUCGGUAUGUACCUAGUUUAUCUUCCUUUUUUUUUUAAAACAUUACUCCUCUCGUUAAACCCAAAUAGAAAAAAGAGCUAUAACAAAGAAAAAUAAUAAUAUCUAUGUAUCUAUCUCUAUAAUUCUUCAACUACUAGAACGAAGUUGAAUAUUUUGCUAAAUAUCGAAAAUGGCCUUGAGAAAUUCAUUGAUCACACAUCCUAUUUUCGCCAAAUCAUUUAAGUUCUACUGUCAAUAACUUAAAGUACAAGUUAUCCACAGUUUGAACUUGAUUGUGUGCCAGCAGAUCCAUUACAUAAACAUUACCCAACAUCUCAUCAAAAAGGUUACGCCAAGAAGUUUGCUUUGUACAUGAGCGGUUAUGGUGGUGUAUCCGUGGAGCUAUGCUCAAAAUACUGAAAAACAUAAUUUUAGAUAUUUUUGUGUUACACUACAGUUUUUUGAAUUUUAGAAAUUACUUAUCUGAUGUGUCAAAAGUAUGUGGCUUUUUCGGAAGAAUGUGUUAGUCUCUCCCAUUAUUAUAAGCUUUGCUCCUCUUUCGAACCAAAAAUAAACAUAUAGCUUGUAACCAAAAUGAAAACUUUCUCUCUCUCUCUCUCUGAUGAGAGAUGGGUUGAGGGUGUAUACGACACGCUGCCUAUUUGUGAUCCUUUCAAAGAGCCCGCGUUUCGGUCCCCAACACAUGCUCUCUUGUUCUGGAAAGUGAAUGUUGGUGAUGAAUGUCGGAUUCUAGUGUACGACCUUGAAGAUGAUAACCUCUGCGUUAUUGUCAGCCAUACUGAAAAACACAAUUUUAGAAUACUGAAAAACACAAUUUUAGAUAUUUUUGUGUUACACUACAGUUUUUUGAAUUUUGGAAAUUACUUAUCUGAUGUGUCAAAAGUAUGUAACUUUUUCGGAAGAAUGUGUUAGUCUCUCUCAUCAUUAUAAGCUUUGCUCCUCUUUCGAACCAAAAACAAACAUAUAGCUCAUAACCAAAAUGAAAACUCUCUCUCUCUCNNNNNNNNNNNNNNNNNNNNCUACUACUACUACUACUACUACUACUACUACUCUACUCUACUCUACUCUACUCUCUCUCUCUCUCUCUCUCUCUCUCUCUCUCUCUCUCUCUCUCUCUCUCUCUCUCUCUCUCUCUCUCUCUCUCUCUGAUGAGAGAUGAAUUGAGGGUGUAUACGACACGCUGCCUAUUUGUGAUCCUUUUAAUGAGCCCGCAUUUCGGUCCCCAACACAUGCUCUCUUGUUCUGGAAAGUGAAUGUUGGUGAUGAAUGUCGGAUUCUAGCGUACGACCUUGAAAAUGAUAGCCUCUGCGUUAUUGUCAGCCAUUGGAGUUUUGUUAGAAUGUAUGAUGCCGAUGAUAAUCUAUUAAGGAGCAUCAGCUUUGGCUUGGGAUGUGAUGGCGAUAUAAUCAGCUCUCGGGUGAGGAGGUGAGUGGACAAGGCUAAAGUGCAAUUGUUUCAUCUGCGAUUCGAUUGCGACAAGAGACAUUCCGAGUUCAAUCUCACCCUACCUCCAAAUACUACCAUGCCAACCUUUUAGCUGGGCCAAAUCCUUCCCAAACUGAACAAAUAUGAAAAGUUCUUGUCUAAUAUAUGAAGCCUUCAUAAAAGAUGCAUAACUUUAUGUCCACAAAAUUAAGGAUAUGGCAUACCAAAGAAAAAAUAUAAGUGGGAAUGUGAUUAGUAGUAUGUAAAGAAAACCUAAAAGAAAACAAAUAGCCUAUUGACUAAUCAACAAGCAAACGCAACGUAUCCUAACAAGUAAGUGUGAGGGUUCUCUUUUAAUUAAAUAGCAACUAGACCAAGAUCAACUCAAUAAUUCUAUUAAUGAGAAAUUUUGUAUGUGAUUCAAACAACAAAUGAGUUUGGUAGUGGUCAACGAUGUUGCAGCAAAGGUAGCAACCAAUUUAAAUUAUAAAUAACCACCAUCUCUUUGUAUUGCUGAAGAUCCAGGUAUAUAAUAAUUUAUAUUAGGGGUGUUAUCUUUGUUUUGUCUUUCGAGAACUGUGUUAAUAGUAUUGCAUAUUCCUUCAUAAAGACAGGAGUUAUAUCUUUUUCUUUUUUUCAUUCUUUCAUAUUGUUCCUGACAUAAUAUACAUAAAAGAAUUAAAAUCAAUUCAUUUCCUUCAUACAUGUUGACAUUGAUAAGCCUCAGUAGCUAGAUUUAGGUCUGGUUAUUGCUUUUUUCUCUAAACUUUAUGACAAUAAAAUGAUUGCUCUAGUUAUAUUAGUGGAUAACUUUUUCCUUGGAUAUUUUGAAAUUAACUUUUUUUUUUUUUUUAAGUUCAAGACAUCACAAUAUAUAUAAAAAAAACAACAGUAGGGAUUCAUCGAUCAAACUGUCGUUAGAAAUCCAUAUCAAGAUGUAUCCCACAAAAACAUUAACAUUCAACAACCUAAUUUAGUUAGAGAAAGAGAAUACCAGAGCCGCAUCGUUUCCUGACUUCCUCUCUCUCUCUCUCUCUCCAUGGCGGCGAUGUUUGCAACGGUGGCAUCUGCGGUCAUGCUCAUGGCCGACUUUGCUAAAUUUCUUGAGGUUUUUAAUGAUUUGUGCCGGGGAAACCAGGAGUUGGAACGAUAUCUUCACGAGAUAGGCCUAGCAUUGAGGUUUUUUAGGACGGUUGUGAUGCGACUGGACCAAUGUGAGGUUCUUGAAGAUUUGAUCGAUCUUUUCAAACAAGACCUCGACCGCGGUACCACACUGUUGUAGGAGGUUUCUAGGGUUUCGUUCAGGUCUAGCUAAUAAGGUGAAAUGGAUGACGAUGUAUUUAGGAAAAAUUUGGCAUUUUGAGGCAGAUCUAUUCAAGCGCCUAAAAAGAUUUAAGCCCUUUACUAGCGUGCACUAUCAAAUCCGAUACCUUGCGGAUCAAGGCUGUCAGCGGGGAGAUCAAGACUGAUACAAGCGAGAUCAAGGCCUUUAGCAGGGAGAUCAAGGCGGACACCAAGGAGCUCAAGGCGAACAUCGGGGAGCUUAAGGUGGUUACUGGGGACAUCAAGGCCGAGAUGACCGAGCUUAAAGCCUUUAACGGGUUGGUACUUUUGAGAUUGGAAGAAUUAAGCCGUGAUAUGAAAGAAUUGUCCAAGAUUCCUCAGUAUGUUCCUGUUGCAAUUGAAGAAUCGUCGAAGAUCCUUCCCCAGCAUCUUCCUUCUACAAUUGAAGAAUUGUUGGAGACUGUUCCUGCUGCAAUGGAAGAUGCUCUUGAAGAUGCUCAAAAGUAUGAAGACGCUACGGCUGUUGUCUUCGAAAAUGAUGAUGAAGAUGGCGAAGCUGAAGCUUUAAUUCCAUAGGUCUUGUGAAGCUGCAAUUCAGAGGUAGUGUUGUUAAUAAUUGGUUUGGUUUAGGGUUCUUGGAUCUCUGUUUAUGGGCAAUAGAUGAAAGUUUCUUGGACUUGGCUUGUUCAUAUUCAACUGUUAAUCCCUUUUGAGCUGGUAGACUUUAAAAAAUUGAAUUUCAGCGUUUCAGAUAGCGUGAAUUUUAGUAAAUGAUCACCAACUUAGCAGGGUGCUAAAAUAUAUUUAUUAUAAUCUUUUUUGUUUCAGUGCACUGCAACCUCAUUUAUAUCAUUAAAAAAAACAACAACAACCUAACUUAGUGCGUUGAUUCAAUAGCCUGGCCAAGCCAAUGUCAAGUGCCUCUCCAAGACCUACAAGGCCAAGCUUGUAAUAACCACGAGUUCUGAUACUUGAAAUUGGAGGACCAACUAGAGGACCAACUAGAGGACAAACUGGAGGAGUAACUUGAACGGCUAGAUGAGCAACUUGGCUGUGCUGAUCACCUAGAGAAUUAUUCAAAAGUUUCUUAACACAACAUCUCAAGAGAAUUAAAAAGACAGUGCCGAAAGAACCAAAGCCAAUUGUACCUCAUAAAACCCAAAACAUAUUGUCUGCCCCUCUCCAACAACACCAAAAUAUACUCCCAGUCCCUCUCGAAAACUUCAAAAAAUACUCCCUGCCCUCCUCGAACAAAUCCACAACAAACUCCCAGCCCAACAAAAUUUCGCAUCGAACUUACCCUAAUACUUUGGAUUAAAAAUACCACUCUUAGCAAAAAUUAAAGUUGUUUGACUUCUUAGUAUGUCUUCACUAUCUACUUAAUUGCCUUGUGUAUGUAUACGCUUUCUCAAUAAAGCAAUCUCUCUUGAAUUAUAACGUGUAUAAAAAAAAAAUCUGGAGGGGGUUCUAGCUGAUAACCAAGGAAACUUACAACAUGAGGAGAAUGAAGACGCCAGUCCUUGGCCAGUAUCUUCGGAUUUUGAAACCAUCAAUCGAACUAUCUUUCUCAUAAUCUCUGAUAUUGAAGCUUUAUAACAAUGCAUGCAAUAAAAUCACAAUAUGCUCUACUGUAGAAAACUUUCAACAACAUGCAGAGCGUGUUGUCAAUAACAACGCACCUGCGUGUUAUUGAAAAUCUAUAACAACAAGCAUAGUGUGUUGCGGUAUAAUUACAACAACGUGCAUCAUACCCUUUCUAGAAAACAUAAUGUACAUUAGUAAACAAUCUUGGACUUCUAACGACUCUGGCAUCUACAACAUGCGCCGAAUGUUGUCAAAAACGAUGCAUUGCAUGUUGUUAAACCUGUUUUUUCUUGUAGUGAAUCUAAUUGAGAUUUCAUUAAAAAAUUUCAAAACAGCCACGAUAACCAAUAUCAACAAUUCAACUAGAGCAGCCUUUUUGGUCUCGUUCUCUUGGUAUCGUUUGCGCCAUUGAUUUACUUGGUCGGAAUGAGAUGUAAGAGUUUCACCAGAUGCAAUAACCAGCCUGAAUAAGCCAACAAAUCAUUACUUGAGUUGAGAGUUGAGACACGAGAGAGAACGAGAUACAGAAAUGGCAAAAGAUACUGGUGUGUAAGUCAAAUCUUUUCAGAGACGAGAGAUAAAAAAAAAUAUUUCAGCUCUGGAACAGUCCUGUCUCCAGUGGGAUUCAACUCUAAAAUUUCAAUUGAGGAAGGAGAAAAGAUUUGGUUAGGAAGUUGCAACAACAAAGACAGAGAUCGGCGUACCAUUUUCUGAGGUUGAGUGUCCAUGUUCGACAACAUUCGGGAUGGUUUGAAAGCAAAUGCACGUAUCCUGCAACUGUGGUUGUAGGGGUUCUUAGCUCAUUAUAUAUUUCUUUAAGACAAUUCAUCAAACAUCUCUCGUCUAUUGACUUGAAGACCUAUGUUUGCUUCUAGAAGAGGAAAUGUUAAAGUCAGAGUAUUGCAUGGACGAUGGAUUUGAGAUUUCCCUCCGUACUAAGCUGACUUUGUGUAAGUUGCUCUUCUAGAAGUUCUUGAUUUUUCAGUUUACAGAACAUAAUGGUAUCCUAGUCAAGUGAAAAUAAUGUCUAGUAUGAUCGGUUUUGCAGCAUUCCUAUCAAUGGUCUUGACUUCUAUCUUAUUAGAAGUAAACCCUCAGUCACUUAAGACCAUUGAUUUUGUCAUGAUGCACCCUUCUCUCUCCCAGUGCAUACUAUUAGUAGUAAAAAUCUAGUCUUUCUUUCUCAUGUCCAAUUCAGAGAAGGACUGGAAUUGCCAGAAGAAUCAAACUGGGGACCAAACUGCAAGAUGUGCCUCAAGAACUUCCUGUGUGAGUGAGUGAGCACAGAAUCCCUGAGCUUCAAGCUCUAUUCCAUACUCAAACUGCAGCCCUCUGCCUAGGGUUGUUUUGAGUGGCAAGGAAAAUGGUUUGGAGCUUAAACAGGUUACCAGUUUGAUGCUAUCUGAUCAACAUCACUCUAAUGCAUCCAUGUGAACGAGUUCCUGUGAACCCAGAAUUAUUAGAUUAUCAGUAUGCAUAGCUGAGAUCUGUUACUGUUUCAAGCAUAAAUUUUACACACUUGUUAUUCUGGGUCCAGCCAAUUAAAGGCAGGAGUAGCGCUAUUACUACUUUUCUCCUUUUGCUGGGAAGUAAACCUAGCUAGAACAGAUCAAAACCCUUCCACCAAAGCUGAUAAAUGCAAAACUGAGGCCUCGAGGGAUUGAGUUGAGGCUCGGUAGAGCUACCACCAUUAACAGCAACAGCUAAUAAAGGAGUAGUAAUGAAGGAAACAAUUAGCUAGCUCUGGUACCAAGUAGUGUACCAUGUAGGGUAGAUUUACAUUAGACUGGACCUCUACCACAUAUUCAUAAAAAUCAACCGUCCUUGCACAAAUAUUGUUCAAUACAACCACGUUGCACAUUAAAUCCAUCCCGCAAAAGACAAAAACAGCUUUUGGGAUUUAAAGUCCACAUUUAACAACAGCUAACAAUGAGUUUUGCAAUGGGGGGAUGGGGGUCAACUUUCAUGGCAGCCUCACAUUUCUACGAGGUAGGUAUUAGAGCGAAGGCUAAGCUACAGUCGUGAUGUUAUAAGCUACCAACUAUAUUAUUCACCAAAUUAAGGAUAAGAAAGCGAUGGAUGAACCAAAAAUCCCAUUGUAUAUCUAACAGACAUGUUAAACAAAGCUAUAGCAAAUCUUCAUUGACCAAUUCCAAAAGGAUCAGAUCAUGCACAAGACUAGUCAUUGAUAUCUAUUAUAAGUCAUAGUAAGUGGCAUACAAGUUAUUAGAGGUACCUGAUAUGUUUCCAGCUACUUUAGAAUGACUGCUUCAACGUAUUAAAGCUGCAUUGUGUUGAGUUGUGGUUUAGGAUAUCCGUUUAACUCCUACACCUGCCUUGGACCACUAUCUGUGCAUAAUAUCUGUAGGAAGAAAUCAAAUAGAACCAUCUACACCAAUCGACAUCAGUAGGAACAGCCUAUUUAACAAAGGAAAACGAGAUAAAUGAAAGAUAGAGGGAAUAGGCUAUAGAAGAACAACAAAGCAAAGAGAAAAAGGAAAACAGAAGACUGUUAAGACUGAGAGAAACAUUAUAAACUAAUGAUUCUGGUAUCCUUUGAAGGCUGAGAAAAGUUUGAACUUUAUAAAUGUUUAACCUUCUGGGGCAAAUCAUAGUUAUGUUCUGCAAUAAAGCACGGGGGCUAGCAAAAAUAAUACAAAAACAUGAAACUUAAGUAGCUAUACUGGACACUGGACAUGACCAAGGGUCAGAAACUCAGAAUACAUAAAGCCUAACAUCACCAAGCAAUAAAUCUUGAUAGGCCAAAGCUUGAUUAUAAGUUUCAAGCUAGAUAUUCUAAUAUUGCAGGCAGAAAAUUUCAAGAACAAUUACCAUGAGAUUUGAUUUGUUUGUGAUUCUAAUCUGACAACAAGCACUCCAUUUACAGUAAGUUGAAGAUAGCAAUUGUAAUAAACAAGGCAAGUAGAAAAUGCCAAGAACAAUAACCAAUUUAGCAUAACUUUGUUUUGUCUUUUCACUUUGCAUGAUUGAUGACUUAAAAGAUAAGCAAUUGAAACACAACAAUGAGAAAGAAAAGGGCUCUUUCCUUGGAGAGGGCAGAUAGAAUGGCUUUUCCCCCAAAUUAUGGAUCUUAGUUUCUAACUUUAGAUGAUUUGGCUAAUCCUCAUCAUAUCUUUAUCUGGGGAUUCUGGAUGAAAAGACAGCUGAGUCAUUAUCAUACACUGUACUCAAGGAUGAACAACAAGAACUCAAGAAAUGAAUCACAGCUUUUUCAUCUGGAUGACUUCAUUUGGCAUAUUGGUUUUGGGGUCAUACACAAUUGUCCUAACUCCUAUAUAGUAAUGGGUAGCAUGAUCAGGGAUCACAGAGAAAACGCUAUGAAAUGAUGAAACACAAAAUCAAAAACAGCAGCCAGAAGCUUGCUGAGAAUUUCCAUUAUACAAUAUAAAUACCCAACAAAAAAGGCGAAACCAACAAAAAAACAAGAGCAAGAUAGACCAGGAAGAUCCAUGCUUUGCACAUCCUAAUUUCUUCUUCUUUACACAUAUAUGGUGAUUAACUGAUUAAAUACAAGAGAAGGGUCAUAUCUCCUCCCUUACCCCAAUUUUGCAAUUCUGCAGAAGCCCUUUCAAAAUUAAUCAUCUUCAUCAGCAACAAGAGCCGGUUGGACUUGAUCAUUCACAAUUCAUGAAUAAAUUCGCUUCAUUCAUUCAUUGGUCUUUCCCAAAGAGUCCAUCCCUUCUGUUCUGCUCCGCACAAUCCCAUGGAAGACCUCCCUGACCUGUCUUUCCAGAGGGUCCAAACCCUCCUUCAUGCCCUCGCAGAGCUCCGAAAGCUCCUGAACUCUCUGCCGGACCUCCCCUUCUUUAUCCUCACUCAACGGAAACUGAACGGAAUCAGCCAAUUCGCUGAUGAGCCGGGAGCAUUUCUCGAUCUGAUGAAUCUCCUUCAAAAGCGCACAGGCGUUCCUCCGGUCCCGGCGCUUCGACUCCUCCAUAAUCCUCUCGUGCAGCGAAAGCAGCGGCGCCGCCCACCCGAAGGUCCUCGGAAUGGUGAAGUGGACCUGCAGGCCGCGGUCCUGGCACGGAAUCGCCGCCACCAGGGCCCACAUUACAAACAGCAGAACCGAAUUGACCGUAAACACCGCCGUGGCCAGCCCGUUGGUGGCGGCGAUUUCGUUGGGCCUCGGCGCGCAGAGGUUGUUCCCAAUCGCCUGGAGCUGCCUGGCCGCCGACCACGACCGCGAGACGCUCCACGACAGAGAUCGGAAGUGUCCGACAGACCGGUAGUCCUUGGCCGGCGUGUUGCUCCGGCCGAAGGAGCGGUUGCGGUGGGCGAGGGUGGUGUUGUUGGAGGCGUUGUCCUUGUCGUCAAGCAUCGCAAUAGCCAAGUCAAUGAGAGCUUUCUUGGCUCGCCGGAACUGGCCUUCGCCGAGAGUCCGGUCACGAUCCAAAGCACAUAGAACAAUCUCUAACAGCUUGUGCCAUUGGCGCAUCUGCUCAAUCCCGUCGCGGAUGGCAUUACAGACGUCGAGGCCCUUGACGCUGCGCUCGAAGUAGUCGGAGAGGAGGCGGUCGACGGUGGGCUUGGAGAGGUGGGACUUGGGGGUGGAGAGGAUGAGGAGCUUGAACUGGUGGUGGAUGCGGAGGAAAGAGUCGAGGAGGUCGCGGAGCCAUGAAAGAGAGAGGAGGUCGUGCGAGGAGGAGGAGAGCUGUUGGAAGCAAUCGGACACGUGGCUCUGGAAGGUGUCGAGGUCGAGGGAUUGGCCGCCGUCCAUCACGACUGGGGUGACGUGGCUGUGGCGCUUGAGGCUGAACACGGAGCGGCCGAAUUGAGCUGCUGCGGAGCCUUGGAAUUCCGUCGCUGGCAUUAUUCUCUCUCUCACAUGAAAAUUGAAAAUGGAGAGAGAAAUUGUUGGAGUUUAGAGAGAGAGAGAGACUGGUGGUGGGAGAGAGAGGGGUGUUUGGGUUAUAUGGAGGUUUUGGGGGAAAGCGAAGGAGAUGAAAAAGGAAUUAGUUACCGGAAAUAGGAAAGUGUUUUAACCGCGGUGGAUUUGAAUUUUACUACGCGCCCCGAACACGGACCAAACACGGCUGGGAAUGGGAAGUGAGGCCUCCCGCUUCAGUUAAAAGGGGAAGCGCGGAGGGGCCACGUAGAGGGACGGAGUCUUUGUUGCUGGGGGAGUACACGUGGACGGUACAGGCUGGGUCUCCGUUGGCGCGUAGAAGAGAAUUCUGGAGUCAGUCACUUCUAGAAAGGCGAGUGAGGGAGAAGGGGGACAGUGAUGACGUGUGUGGGUUUGUUCGCGGGGUUCGGGGGAAUGUACGGAAAUGCCCCUCGGAGAAGAGGGAAGAACAGAGAGAUAGAAAACUGUCAAUUCCUGCGUGGACGCGCACCCAGGGGGUUGAACUUUGACCCGUUCGUGCUUUGGGGCUCUUUCCGUUUGUUCAGUACUUCAGCUUCAACUUCAACUUCAACGUCUAUGGUGUAAAUACAAAAACCCUAACUGUAAUUGAAGUAAUUAAACUGAUACUAGUGACAUAAAUGUUUUCUUCUUUUUGUUUGGAUAACUGCAUAUUAAAGAGAAAGAAUGCUAAAGAGAGAGGGAAGAAUUUCUAAACAAAAAAUCUAAGAAUAGUCUCUUUUACGAAUAAAUGUAACCAAGUAACUUUUUUGUCGAGCAUAGUGCAAUAGAUCCUUGUUACCUCUUUAGCAGCCGGGAACCACAACUCAACUAGGGUACUUAGUUGCCAAGUAAACUAAAAGUGCACAACAUAUCAUUUUUAGCUCUUCAGCAAUUUGGAUAACGUCAACUCAACCGAGGUGUUGCUGCUGAGUACAACACAACAAAUUAAUGUCACCUCAAAACCAGUCGUAAAAUGGACAAAAAUGUGGUCUUGUUCUACUUAUUGAUUCACUUUUUCAGAUCGAAGAAAUAGUUACUAUAGUGUUUACACUCGCUGCUCUUGGUACAUUCUUCAUAAAAUUUGAUGGAACAUAUCGAGGACUGUGGAGUUGAAACUAAACUAUUUUUUUCACGAUUAGAUUUUGAAAAUAAUAUAUAUUUUCUAGUAAUAUUUCUCCUCAAAUUUUUUAUUUUAUCAAAUAAACAAGUCAAAUGUAACCACUAAAUUUCUGGAAGUUUAACUCAUGACCUCCUAUUUUACAAACGGAAAACUAAUUACACCGGAUCAAUGGUACUAGAUGUUUCUCAAAUUAUUUUCCCUAUAAUUUUUAUAAAAGUAUUUUGCUUGCAAUUGUAUAUAAAAAACAUCACGUGUGUGCUGCUCCCCGUAGCCCAAGGAGAGGGAGUAGGAGCUGUCGAUGAGUCUGACCAGGUCUUCUGGUUGAAUGAUCAGAUGGUCAGAAGAAGAAGAAGAGAAUGUAAUAAUUUUCCAAAUUUAAAGGAAAGCAAAGGGGGGACACCGCAAAAUCCUAUUUAUUUUUCCACCAUUAUUCAAUCGUCCAGAGCCAUGGAAUCUCUAAGCAAACAUAUUUCUUAUCAGUGACAAAUAUCCCCAUGUUUUUUUUUUUCUUUAUUAUUACCUCUUGGAUAUUGUGAAUUUUUAUUUUUUUUUAUUUUUCUUUGGGAAACUGAUUAUUUUUGGCUGAAGCUAGGCUGGCUCUUAGCAAAGCUUUGGAUAUUUCAAAGUGUUUGUUUUCUCCCUCCGUUUUCUGUUGGAUAGUGACAGUUGAAGUCAAACCCUGCAAACAAAAUGAUUUGCACAUCAUGAUAUGUUAAUUUACAAAACAAUAGGACAUGCACAUCAAUUUUUUUCCCAAUAAUGUAUUGUAGAAAUGUCUUUUUUUUUCUUUUUUUUUUUUCUGCAGAUAUAGAGAGGGUUUGGUCAGGAAAUAUUAGGGUUUCCAAGAGCUCUAAGUAGACCAUUUGUUGUUGCUACGGCUUUGUAUGGCAGAUUUGAUGAACGAAGAUAUCUUUUUUUUAUGGCAAGGCACGAAUUUGACACAAAGAUAAUUAGUUUUCAUGGUGAUCAAACAUUUAUGAAAACAUUCCUUGAUGAAUUUCGAGUUGAAAAUAACUCAACAAAACGGCUAAACUUUAAAACUACAACGACCUGAUAUAGUCAUUAGAUUAUUUAUCAUUAUAUAUAACCAAUCUUGUCACUUAAAUAUUGCUUGACUAUUGUACCUCAAUUUGGAUUAUUUACAUCCUUCAUAUCAAAGGUAACAAGGGUGCAUGUAAGGACGAUAGAAACAAUGAAAAUCAUCAUCAUACAUGUCUAAACUUUUCCAAUGAAAGGGACGGACGUCAAUUUUGCAUAUAUAAACAGAAAAUUGAUACACAUGUAAUAACUUAUCUAAAAACAAAGAAUCCCACUAAUUAUUCUUGGAUGAUAAUAACACAAUCAAGGGUAUUAUUUAUCGAUACCAUCUCUCUAUGAGAAAACUUAUGUGUAAAAACAGAUUCUACGCAUCAAGGUGCACUUACACCAUUAAUGUUUAAGUGCUCAAAUCAUCGUAUAAGAAGAUCGAAUGAAUAUUAUAGACCAUAAAUUCAUUAUUUUCAAUUUCAUUUUUGAUCUGAUCAAAUUAAACACUCAUAAUAAGAGUACAUCUUCUUCGACUUAGUGUUCUCACCUCCUUAGUUGGAAAUACUUGAAACUAUUUUUUUGGGUUUCAAUUUUGUUAACGGUAUUAGUAUAUAUGCAUGUAGUGCGACGUAGAUGACCGGAUCAAAAUACUGUAUAUUAGUUGCUUGGUUCACUUGCAUCUUGGUGGAUAGAAGAAUUUUCGAUCUCAUGAUUAAAAAGACCUUGGGAAUUUACUCAAACCGUAGCCGCUCAAGCUAAACUCCAAUUCCCAAAUUGCUUGUCCGGUGGCAAGCUCGAGUCGGCACCAACCUCUAGCUACGCAGAUUCCUAGACGAUUGUCUGAUGGGUGUUAUUAAUCUCCAACCGUGUGAGGAACUGUCUAGUAUGCUAUGAUUGCACUUUGGCGGCGAUCUUGGGUUGGCAUUGGUCUCUUGCCAUGCCAUGCAGAUUCUGAUAUGGCUGUUGGAUGGGUGAUCUCUAUGUCCAAUAGCUUAUCAGAGUUGCAAGUUUGGAAUCUUAGGAUUGCUAUUAGUUAGUUUUUUAUUGUUUUUUUUUUUUUAACAUUAAGAGUCUAGGAAAAAGGGGGGGGGGGGGGGAGGGGGGGGGAUAUUGAACCUAAACCCCAUUGUGCAAGAAACCUAAAAACAAUAUCAGGUGACCCUACACAACUUAUGCAUUCAAGCAAGAACCAUUUAGUAAAGAGUGUUUCAUUGGCAACUCCAUUUGUUUUGACUAAAACAUAGCUACAUAACGGAAAGUUACUGUUCAUGUGGAGACAUAAAACAUUAUGUAUCUCUGCUUUCCCAUUAUGUUGAGAUUUCAUCUUGUCAUAAGGAGGCUACGACUAUUUGACUAAGUAAGGAACUCGUUGCCCCAAAAAAACAAUCAUGACACUAUACGUGCACUUGCCAGGACAUAGCCCACGUUGCCCUACAAUAGAUGAGCUUAUUGACAGCAUAAAGCCACAAAAUAACCAACUAUAAUUUAAUAAACUAAAACCACAAUUAAAAAAGGGUGUUACUAAAUGUAUCCAGUAAAUUGCUAAAUGUACCCGGCAUUAAUUUUUUUACCAAUUAUAUCCCUAUUAAAAUUACAAGGAUGGCAGAUGAAACUGCAAUGUUUGAGGAACUCCUCCUUUGUCUCUAAUCAUUGUUCUGAUACCAAAAUCAAUUAUAUGGCAUAAAAACUUUUUCUUUCUUUGAUCAAGUAUGGUAUAUGAAUAUAAGAGCCGAACUACGAAAAACAUUGAUGGAUUAUAAUAUUAUAAGUUAACUUGAGGAGAAACAUGAAGUAAUGGGAGCACUCGGAUGUGCCCAAAAGCUUAAGAAAGAUAAUUGUUGUUGAUUGGGUUUUUUUUUUUUUUUUUUAACUUUUUUAUUAAAUAACUCACACACCCUACAUAUGUCAAUGAGAUUUGAACCCAUGACGUCAAAGUUGUUAGUUAACCACCUUAACCAACCACGCCACGGCUCACCGACAAAAAAUGUCCCGCUGAAAUUACAAUGCAAUCAUAUAAUUUGCGGUGAAGGUGGAUCGAACACCUGACCUUCUGUUGUUGAUGGGUUCAAAAUCCAAGCACUCUUGCUCGAAUUUGUGGUUGGUUACUUGGUGGUGCACUGGUGCUUCUCUAAGCCCCCAGUGUUAAGGUAAAGGAAAUCUGGAGAGUUGGAAUAAUCUUACAGUUUCAACGCUUCUGAUGUUUUCUGCGACAGCUUUCAAUUUGAUGAUAAGAUGGCAAUUUUCUAUGUCUACCUUAAUUGUUUUCUCUUGAUCUUUGUAUAUCUGUUAAUCGAAGAGAGCACAAGGUGCUGGGUAUAGUUUUUUAAUAUAUGUUGGGUGUAAAUAGACAUAUGGGUAAAAUCGACCAAAAUUAAAGUGCUAGGUCUAUUUAGUUAUUUGCUGGGUACAUCUAGCAACAUCCUUAAAAAAAACAUAAAAUAACCCACGUUGGCCCAGAAAUAAGGCCCAACCCUAAGUAACAGACCUAGGGGAGAGAAGAUCACAUGCAAUCGGCCACCAUCGUCCCAACCCUACUGUCGUUGCUGACGACCUUCCCCUUGAGCCACCACACCCCCAUAGCUGGACCACCGUCAUCCAGAGCCUUUCAGUCACAUCGCUCUUCAAGGAGGCCACAACAUAAGCUAGGCUCGUGUCUAGAUCAGAUGCAAAGGAACCAAUCCAGACCAAACCUGGUUUGAUCCGUGCCAAGCUGUCCUGAUCUCAUCCCAAUCUGUCUUCCUCCGGAUCUGUGGUAGCGUACCACCUUGUCGAUCAGCCAUGCACAUAGUGAGCGAACACCCAGUCACCGCUCCGCCAUCCUCCAAAUCGCGAAGGUGACUCCGCCACACUCGAUGGCCAACGCGAUCUCUCCCCCUCCUCGCCUCGCACAUUGAUGCCGCAAUAACCAACUAGGAGAACCCGGUGUCAUUCCAACCCCACACGGGAGUAAUCAAGCCCGCCCAACGACGACUAAGGAGCUCGCUGCCGGACAGGGGUGAAGAUCUCUCUUCAACCUUAGGCGUGUUCUAGGUCGUGAGUUUUUGUUUUAUUUUAUUUUCAUUUCCUAGUUUUAGGAGCUAUGAGUGAAAAUAAGUUUAAUCAGUGAGUCUAUCAUAUGUACUAGCGUGGGUGUUAUUCACAAAUUCUUGUUUAUUUGAAAAUGGUAGCGGAAAUAUAUAAUGGUUGCACUAACCCAAGUUCUAAUAUAUAAAAUCCAUUGAUUUGCCUUAAAAAAGAGUUGAGACUAGAAUUACUUUUAAGAAUUGAAAUUUGUUCAAUCCAUGUGGUUUGAAGUUGAUAUAUGUUUAGUCAUUAUAGUUUCAAUUUACUCUAAAUGGUCCUUAAAGUCACGGUUUUCUUUUCAAAUGGUUCUUCUAUCAAUUUUCAUCGUUAAAAAACUGACGUGCCCAUUAAAGACAUUAAAUAUUUUAACAGCCACAUCAACAAUCUAACUGAAAAAAUUGUCAAAAUAACCAUUGAGAAGGAAAAUCAUGACUUUAAGGACCAUUCAGAUUAAAAUGAAACCAUAAGAACUGAACAUAUGUCGAUUUCAAACCACAAGGACUAUACAAUAUUUAACCUUACUUUAAAUAGUUUAAAAGAAGUUAUUGUUUCUCAUGUGGAAUAUUUAUAUAGCAUGCACAGGAAAUAAAGAAUAAUAAUUUAUUAAAUAGAUUUUAAUUUGAUUUGUUUUUUAAAAUGAUAUUACGUCAAGACGGCAAAUCAUGUCAUAAUUUUUUACGCGUUACAGUAAGAGCUAUCAUUUAAGGACCAUCAACUGUUCUUUGAUACAACUACUAAAGUUUGCUUAUAUAACAUCUUGUAAGAGUAGAAGACUCGAAUAUUCGUAAUAUUAAUAAUAAAAGAACACUGUAAUAACGAUUAUGUAAUCUAAUAACUCACAUUUCAUUCUAAGAUCGAACAUGUGACUAAUUUUUUUAUUUUUUUAUUUUUUUUUAGAAUAAACAUGUGACAACUCGUAUAACAAAUACUAGAAAAAUCAGACGUACCAUUCAAAGCAAUAAGUGCAAACCACAAAGUUGCAUAUAUAGUAGUAAACCACAAUUUACCCCCAAAUUUAAAAUGGUUCUCACAAAUUGUUCUUUGAUGACACAAUUAUCCCUUAAUUUAUGAGAAUGAACGUGUAAACGUAGAGGGGAAUCAAUUCCAUGACAUGCUAGUUUGGACCUAAUGAUAUCCUUCAUCUGACGCAGCCACAAGUUGUGGACCAUUUUAUUAAAUUGCUCAUCCCCCAUGCCAACUUGUUGCCCUUGAAAUCUCAAUUUGCAGACUGAAUUAUAUGGUAGAGGCCACAAUCAUAGAUUGGUAGCAUUAUUAUCAUACUACUACGUGGGGACUGAUGUGAAAUCUUCAUACUUGGUUCCUCUCAGUCUCUCACACGUCUGCCUUUCACAAUAAAACUGGGAUGUGUCACUAUCCUUAGAACCAAUGAACCAUUCUUUUGUACAAACUAAGAAAAAGGGUAUGAAUCAAAUCAUCAGUGUGUAGAACUUGUACACAAAAGAUGAGAGAUCUCUCUCAACCGUAGACGACAAGCUCUUUUUUGGUUUCGUCCAAAAUAUUUAUCAUGGUUGAAAGUUCUCUAGGCGUAUUUGACAAGUGCUUUUUUUAUUUUAUUUUUAGAUUUGGAACCCAUGAUUAUAUCCUUUGGUAAUUAGAUGACGUUCGGUAACAUUUCAUGCUUAUAUUUUCAUUGUUGAAAUUGAAAUGAGAUAAAAAUAUGUUUGGUGAGACAUUUUUUAAAUCAUGAAAAAUAAAAAUGAAAUUAUUUUCAAAGUUUAUAAAGAAAAACUAAAAACAUCAGUUUGAUUUUUCGGGAACAAAAAAGAAAUAGUAAGCAGAAAACCCUAGGAGCUUCCGCUCAUCCUUAGCGCACCUCUGCGACUCCUACUAUCUCCCUUCAAACCUCGACCUCUCUCACCAAUUUUGAACUUCCUCUACCAAUCUCCUUCACUAAUCCAUAACUCAUGGCCUUUGAUGUCGUAACUGCCAGUUUUGCAACCUCUUUGUCUCUCGCUGACAGAGGAAAAGCUUCAGAUCUUAAAAAGAUCGGUGGGGGACCUGUCCAACGAUCACCAUAUGCCUUCCUACUAGGCAAACGUCUCACUCGUCACCUUGUGGAUAUGGCUGCUUUCAAGUCUCAUUUCCUCCAAACCUGGUUGGUGGAUCGUCAGUUUAGGGUUCAGGAGAGGGAUGAAAACUUGUUCCUCUUCUCCUUCGACUCUGUCUACGAUCGACAUAAGGUGCUUCAAGGGGGAAUAGUCUUAUGAUCAAGCACUUGUGGCUUUAGAGGAGUAUGAUGACAUACAUCCGUUCGAUCAGAUUUAUAUGAAAUAAGUCUUUAUGUGGGCUAGGGUUUCUGCAAUCCCUCUUUUGUAUGAAGUGCCGAAACAUUUUGAAUUGAUCGACAACUUGUUGGGCGAAUUUAUUGACUAUGACAAGACUGAAUUUAAGAAAGGAAAAGUUCACAUUUUGUUCUCUCAUGAUGUCUCAAAGCUGAUCCUUCAGGAACAUUAUGUUUUUUGGAGGAUGGUGUGGAUCAUUUUCUGAAAUUCUCCUACGAUCAUUUGAAAGGUCAUUGCUAUCUCUAUGGUCUUAUUACCCAUGCAGGUGUUUGCUGUGAAGAACCACCUUUGGUGAAUCAAACAAGGGCUAGAGUUUUGGGGUAUGCUAGAUAUCACAACUCUGUUUUUUCUGCUAGGGCUUCAUUUGAACCAUUACUGCAGUCUCCUGGUCCUUCAUCUUCUCUGGCUCCCAAGAAGAAGAAAUCAGUGGUUAUCAAGAAGAGAUCAACAUCUGAAGAUUUUGUACUCGACUUGGUCAUAUCUGACAGUGGUGCAAAGGAUCUGGAGCACAACUUUAUAGUUUCUGCUAAAGAUGAAGAACAUGGUUCUACUUCUGACCCAAUUGUGCCAACGCUACCGGAACUAGAGGUGGCUCCACAAAGUGAGGAAGUUGUGUCAACUCCUUCUCGGAAACGAGGACGUGAUAGAGGUAUGACUCCCUCCCCAGAAAAAUUCAAGACUAUUUUGGGAUGAAAGAUCCAAACUUCAACCAGAAUCUCUAGGGUUGGUGGAAGAAGCAAAGGAUGACGUGCCAAUAACCUACAAAAGAAACUUGGUCGUCCUUUGGGUAGUGAGAAUAAGAACCCAAAGUCGGAAAAGAAGUUUGCGGCUCCCCUGGUGCGUACGAUAGAAUUUCUUUGUCGGCUAACCUUGGUAAGGAUAUCAGCCCUUCAGACAAGGGCAAAGGAAAGUUGUAGUCUUCCUUGCUUUUUUGCCUACGAAAGAACUUAAGUUCUAAAUCGUCUAGUUCCUUAGUAUCCCUUGAUGUACACCAAUUACGGUCUCUGCUCUCUAGGCAACAUAUUUACUUUUCAAAGAGGGUAAGGGUGUUUAGUUCCUAGCUUCUAUUGCUCAGGCUCUUUCGAGUUUAUAAGUUUGCAAUGUGGGUACAUGUCAAUUAGUCUGUUAGAUUGGGUUAGAGUUAUUUUGGCGCAAGACUCUAAUUAAUGUACGUGCCUUAUGACCAUGGAUAAGUAAUAAAAUUAUCUAUUUAUAUUAAAAAAAAUCAGUUUGACGUUUUCGGUUUUUCAUUCUCCUAGUUUAUAAAAUAUAGAAAAUAUUUUUCGUAAUAAAUUACCGAGUGUGGCUAUUGUGACCUCCAUAUUUGCUCACUUAACCUCACUCUAUUGUGCGUUAUUGCAAUGACAGAUAUAUCCUCUUACAUAAUGACUAUUAAAGACAAUAAUUAUACAAAAACAAGCAAUAUAUUUAUUCUUUCUAGAUUUUUCAAUUCAAUAAUAGAUUAUAUUCUUUAUUAUUUUCAUUUUCUAAUUUUACUAGAUAUCAUUAAAUCAUUUACAUAUUUAAUAAGAGCUGGUUUUAAAUACACACCCCAAAUAACUUAAUACACAUCCUUAUUAUUUGAUAUUUCAAAUCACAUUUGAUUGGUAUGUUAAAUGACAAAAAGAGACAUGUGUAAUACAAUUUAAAUAUUAAAAAAAACUUAUAUUUGGAAACUAAUAAUGUGAAAUAUAAACCAAAUUUAAAAAACAAAAACUUAUUUUUGGAAACUUAUAAAGUGAAUUAGAACAAAUUAAAUUUUUAAGAUCGAGAACUUAUUUAGGGAAUUGAAACUAUUAAAGUAAACAAAAAAUUUGCAAGGAAAUUUGGAUAAUCAAUUGAUUUCUUUUUUGUCCUUAAAGAUUCAUAAUUUCAAAGUUUAAAGUGUCAAAGUGUCAAACGAUAUAAUUGUUAUGCAUAUGAACACCUAUUUCGUUAUAUUUCACAUAUUUUUCUUUUCACCCAAACACACUAUUCAGAUAUGUAUUUUUCAUCUUAUUUAUCAUUUUCAUGUUUAAGAAUUUGAAAUGAACAAUGAAUUUGUAAGGAUUUCUCAAUAACUAACACAAAUAAUACAUAUGAACAUCUAUAAAAUGUUAAUUUAUAUAAAUAUAUACUAAUUAUACAAUAAUAAUAGUGUUAAUAUAGUCACAUUAAUUAUAUGAUAUUUCAUGUUUUUUUAGAUUAAGGGUAUUUUAGGUACUUUGGGGUUGUGCAUUUAGUAAAAUAUCUGAAUGAGAAAUUAAAUAAAUGGUGUAUUGAGAAGGGGAUGUGUAUUAAGUUAUUUCGGGUAUGUAUAUAAAAUUUCUCAUAAACUAAUAUCAAAGCAUAUAUAGGUGAAAGAGAUGGGUGGGACCCACAGAGAAUGCACUAAAUUCUGUUGCCGACGCGUGUCCAUGCGCACUUUAAUGAUUUUACGGACGUGCGCCUCUGAACGGGGCUGUAUAUAUAUAUAUAUAUAUAUAUAUAUAUAUCAAUAGAGGCUCUACCCCAAUGGGUUUCUUAUAUGGGAUCUCGAAGGAAUGACUCCGCAAAACAGAUGUUGUUCGCUUUGGUUUUUAGGGUGGGUCAAUGUACUAUGUCAUAGUUUUAGAGGCUAACUCUUGAAUAAGUGAGUGAUCAUUGUACUACUGAGUGGUGUUAGCAUACCACGUCCUAGGUUUGAAUAUUUCUUUCUCUAUACUUGAUAAUUGAAAAAGUAAAGGAAUGUAUGUAUCUGUGUCAUUGUGGCUUGCGCACUAAAUGAAUUGACUUUAUUAUUUGAAAAAAAAAAGAAAAAAAAAGUCUCAUAGAACCAAAGGGAGAAUAUAUAUAGAUUCUUUAGAAUAAUUAGAGAGUAAGGUGCUCUCCCUCUCUACCAAACCCUAGCCAUCACGACUUUGGUCUCUAUCAAUGGUGCAAAUCACCAUCACCAUGCAAAUCAUCAUCCUCUACCUCUUGCUGUCUCCGUGCGGCAAUCAAUCAUUGGUCAUCACCAAGAAGAUAAACCUCUAGUGUCUCUCACCUCUGCUCAUUAAGCAUGCUUUCGGCGAACUUCCAAAUGAAGACAUCCUCCUUCUCUUACGGAGGCAUCUAUGGUGUCUUCUUAUCUGGGUCAACGGCAAUGACGGCGGCAAGGGAAGCAACGACUAUGGCGACGACAGCAGUGGCGUUGAGUGCGUCAACAACGACCUAGGGUUUGCUCAUUGGUUUAGUUGGGCUCGGGCAAAUUAUGUUAGGGUUUCCUUUUGGGCCUUAUCAGAUUGGGGUGGGUUUUACUGAGAUUUUUCAAUUUGAUGCUUUUGUUAUUUAGUCUUAGCCUAUUUCUAUGCUUAUGAUCUAUAGACAAUAGGUUUAUAGAAUCAAUGAAUAAAUAAGAUUAAAAAAUAGUUUAUCUUAUGUACUAGUAUGAAUCUCGACUCACAACUUGACUAUCUAGAGAUGAUAAUGAUAGAGUAUGUAAUGGUUGUUUUUUUUUUUUUGUAUCGGAUAAACAACUCAAAUGCUACAACGAAUCUAUCGUGAGUCAAACUCAUAACUUCCCACUUAUAAAGAGGAGACUAUGUUAUUAGACCAAUUGAUAUUGGGCUAUGUAAUGGUUGCUUUUAGCUUUCGUUUUUUUUUUAACCUUAAAAUAUUAAGUCGUAAUUGAAUUUUUUUUUUAAAAAGAGAGAGAACAUAUAUAUUUGAGUUAAUCAAUAUAUCCAAAUAGAUCAUCAAUUACACUUGUAUUCUAAUUUAAUUAAUGGAGCUAUUUACGCACAUGUAAAAGCAAGGAAAAGAAUAUAAUGAAUAAAAAAAAAAAAAAGAUAACUUGCAACUUUCAUCUUCAUGCAUUCAUACUACUUAGUUAUGGUCACGUCUAAACGUUCCAUAGUAUAAGAUUGAUUCCAAUAGGAAUUAUAGAAUUGGUCUUCGGAUAAUUUGGGAUAUAAUUCACUGGAUGUGUGUGGGGGAGAGAGGGAAUGGGACGUGUGUGCUACUGUCGCUUAAGGGCGAACCAAGUCAAAAUUAUAUAAAAAUUAUAUAUAUGAUUGAAGCAGUCUUCUUCAACUCCUCUUAGUCUGACAAUUUGCACUUCUUCCUCUUGUUUUGUUUUAAAAUUCUUGAUGAUGCCAUUCAGUUGAAUUAUUCUGUUGAUGAUGUCAUUCAUUAGCAUUCUAUUUAUAAAAUCGUUAUGAAGCUACCCACAACUACAAUCAUUCAUUUAGGAGGGAGUUUGACACACCAAUUCUUGCCUAUUUACAAAAGAGAAACUAAUGCCACUCAACCAAACCAAUGCUAGUCAGCAAGUUAUUCUUUGUAAUGAUAGAACUGGACAAUGUUUAAUCUUAUUGCUGAUCUACAUAAAGGACUCGGCUAAAUCCUACUUACCGAGGAGAGUUAUGGCAAACUAUUUGAUGAGUUUCUCGUAAAUGUGCGUAGGACUUGCAGCCAAAAAUGUCAAUUCCCUCCUUCCGUAUCUUUAACUCAUCCAAAGAUGUCAAUUUGUGAAACAACGAAAAUUAUACAGCGCACCCAUCUCGUGAAACAAAUAGUCAAUUUCUGACGGACGCUCUAGCCAUUUGUCAUUUUUUUGAACGUUUCUAGUUGGCUGAAUGGAGGCAAUCGAAGCAUUUCAAAGCUCAAUAUUUGGGGUAGUUUAGGUGUGUAGGUUAUUGUAGGGGAGGCUGUUUGUAGCCUUAUACUAUCCUUUGUAAUCGAAAAAGGAAAUAGACAGCUUAAUUCUUAAACCUAUCCACAAACCUCGAGAAAUCAAAAUAGCAGAUCUCAUUUGAGAUCACUCAAUUUGGAGUUGACUUCUCUUUGGCUGGUAUCUCUCCUAACCAGACAACAGCACAGUCAACUAGCCAUACUAUAUAACAAUCAACCUAGCCAGGUAUAUUGACCCUUGACUUCUAGAUCAAGUUCCUAAGACUUCAAAGUCAGGAUAACACCACAAGUUCCUUAGCCACUAACUGGUCAAACAGAUAAAAACCCAAAUCUUAAUAUGCCCAAAGUAGCUCCAAGCUUGUAGACAUGGAGUCCUGUAGAUAUGGAGCCUUUGCCCCCAGCAAUACAGAAGUUAAGCAUCUAGCAAUUACUUCCAAGAGGGAAUCCAGAUAUUAGCACAGGAAGACCCAUAUAUAUGUCUGCUGAUUAAUUGAACAGUCAUAUAAUGCUCCUUGGGUGGAAGAACCAAAAUAGUAAUACCAUAAUAAGACUAAUAAUAUUAAAUCUGUUCAACUAUUGUCAUGUCAAAGUAUUAUACAAAGAGUUCUGUAGUGUAAUACUGCAAGGUAGUGAAACUUAUCUUACAUAGAUGAGAGAUGCUUGAACAAGCGCUAGGGAAAUUCAUUAGCUACAAGUCUACAACAUCAGCUACAAAGAUGCUACCCGAGUCGCACCAUCCACCGACAACAUCCCUGUUCUGGCACUGUAAGAACAUGAAAAAUUUAGCAAUUUGCUCUGUCAAUUUUGUCGAGCUGUCACUGUAUAAAAUAGAAGAGCACCUAAUAGGUAAGUUAAAAGAAAUAUCUUGGUUCGCCAAGGUCAGAAAACUUAACAAGUUUAAUAAUUUGCACUUUGCUCCAUGCUUAUACAGACUUCAAAUACUAUGUGAAACUCAAAUCUGAUAUCCAACAAUGAGUGUCUAAAUUUAAAUAACAGAAAUAAAAAUAACAAGGAUGACUAUUAAAUGCAAGUAGAAACCAAUUCCAUCAAACUGAUUUGUUUGAUUAGUCCACAUGCAAUGUUAAACCAGAGAUAAAGCAUAAUUAAUAAAGCCAAUUUUCGCAUUAAAGGACAGUCAAAUUAGACUAAGAGAGAGCAGCCUAUAAGCGUCAUCUUGCAUAUUAUAGAAGAAAGUAAUACCUUGCUAAAACCAAGCCAGUUUGAAUCUCCUCUAAAGGAAAUCACCUUGCUAUUCUCUUUCCAGUCUCCACAGAAGACCUGCAGACACGGCCAUAAGGUGAUGUGAGGAGAAUCGAGAGUAACAAGUCAAGAAAGAAAAGGGUGUCUAAUGAUGAUAAUGGUAAAUCAGUACAACAAGAGAGCCAAAGUAACAUCAGUCAUGCUUCUAUUUAAAAUUAAAAGCAUUUGCUGAAAAACGAACAAAACUUUUGAAGAGCAAUGCUUCAUAUGUGUAUUUUUGCAAAUAUUACAUGAAGCUUGUAGCAAUCAAACUGCAUAGAACAGAUUGAGUUUCAUAUGAAUCUGGGGCUAGGUGUUGAUUUCCUACCAUAUCUGUAACUUUUAUUUUACUACAUAAUAAUACUGUAUCUAUAGAACAUGCUACAAGUCAUGACACUGUUGAGCCUGGACAAGCAGAUGCAUGAGGUCAUUUCGACACAACCAAUAUUAUGACAGGCUUAGAGCAAGUACACUAUUUCAUCUAGGCAGCCUCUUCAACACUAAUAAACUACUGAGUGCAGAGCAUUUAUAAAAGCAUUACCUUGUUAUCAAUCUUAUGCUAAAGAGCCAGAAUUAAUACUGCAGUAUAAACAACUUCGUUGAGGUCAAAUUAGGAAGGUAGGGCAAGCUGAUUGUAUCCUCAAAUCCCCAAGAAUAAACGAUUUAGCAUCUAUUACUUAAACAGAUCUCUGGACAGCAUAAAAAAUAAAAAAUAAAAACAAUCACUGGCUUAUGUUGAUCCAUAAUAUUGCAAUAUGAAACAUGAUUCCUCAUGAGGCUGUAAGAUCAAUAGCAAACCAAUUUAAGAACCAUAUGAGCAGCAGGUUGAAAUUUAGUCAUGUUCAGAUCAAAGUACGACAGAAAGUUUUCCUCUGAAAAUAAUUUAACCUCUGUGUAUCAAGUGGGUUAUUAUGAAAAUAAAUUUCCUGAAUAAUGAAGUUACCAUUUAAAAGAAGCAAUCAAGAGAAAAAGGACAUCAUUAUCAUGACUUCACAAGUUACCAAAAAAGAAAGAAAAAGAGACAAGUAAUCACCUCGUAAUCAACCCCUUGUAUAUAGAUAUGGUUGGAGUCAACUGAAGAGAAUGCAAGUCCAGUUAUCUGCACAAUGAAUGAAACAGCAAAGAAAAUUCAGUAGGUUGAGCAAAAACAAUGGCAGUUCAUUAUAUCUAAGCAUUUUGCCAACUAUUAAAUUUGUUUUGACCUUCUUAUGACACACCCCACUUUGAAACAAUGAUUGCAUCAAUUUCUUAAAUUAGACUGUCAGAUAACAUGAGAAUGGACUGGGGAAAUCUCUAGUUCUCUACAGCAUGAGGUGGUAGUCAAAAUACCUGUGGUAAGGUCUGUAGGCAAGACCACUAAUGAGAUUUACAAAUGAAGAAUUAGUUUUCAAAAGUUCCGGACAUAGACAUCCAGUAAUUAUCAUUAUCAACUUCAAAUUCAAAAUGACAGUCUAUUUUAUGCAGCAGGUGUUGUAGCAACUGAUGGCACAAUGACAUAGGAUAGCUCAAAGUCUCAAACAAACCCUAAAAUCUGUUUCAAGAAUCAACAUUUCUUUUACAAUGUGUUUGGAUGAGGGAAAAAGUGAGGGAAUUUAAAUAAAAGUAGGGAUUUCCCAAUUCCUUAGGUCUCUUUCUGGCGUUUGGACUCUUAUCCCAUGGAAUUAGCAAUUUCCACGGGAAAAUAAUUGUGGAAUUUGGGAGCUUAAAUUCCCGACUUGAAUUCCUCACAAAUAGCCGUCAUUUAUCAGUUCUCUCAACUGAGGUUAGUCUAAAUACAAAUUCUUGUUAUUUUAAAACUCUACAUCAUGAAAUCCAAACAAUGGAAUUCUCAAUUAAUGGAAUUUAAAUUCAUGGAAUUGUAAUUCCCAUGAUUUUAAAAUUUCUAUGGAAAUUGAAAUUACUUUAUCCAAACACAAUGUUAUUGCAAAAUCAAUUUAUUCAGGUUGCACCUAGAGGCUUUCCACAUAGCCUACAAUUUGGCAGGUGAAUGGCUGGGUUCUGGGAUAUUUUUCUUUGGCAGACAGCAAAAAAACUGGGUCUGAAUUUCUGUAGUUGCAAGCCAGAUGUUGAAACGUGAAUGCACAUUAACAAACAUGAUACUGCCACCUAUUGCCAUUGACAGUAAAAGAAGAAUGAACAGAGUUCUAUGGCAACAUAAAGUGCCAAAUGAAUUACUUUAAAGUUAUGGUGAAAUAACUUUGAUUAUGCUUGAAACCGUUCCAAAGCAGUAUAAUAGUUUCUGAGGAGAAGUAUUUAACUGAAAAAAGGAGUGUAAACAAAGACUAGUGUGUUUUAACAAUAACCUCAUAUUUCGAGCAGUGCACCCAUCUUGAUAGCGUGGCCCAUCUGCAUCAUAUAUCAGUCACCAGUUUUAGUCAAGUUAAACAAAAUAAAAAAAUAACUAGUUUCCUCAACUUCAGAAUACCAAAUGGAGCCAAACAAAAUCAUAAUCCUAAAUAUCAGUGUAUAAUUGCAUUGUAUAUCUUAAACAUAACUAAAAAUAAUCACAUACUAACAAAAGCAAGUGUGAUGACCUGACAUGAUUAUUGAACCAAAUGAUACCAACCUGCGAGGAUCAUAGAUCGUCACAGUACGAUCAGCUCCACCGACCGCAAUGUUCCCAGUUGAGGAACUGCAAACAGUGUAGAAGUCAUCACCAAGUGAUCCACAUAUUCGUUGUAGACAGCCGCCCUUUUCUUUCAUUCUCAAGUCCCAUAUACUCAGCUGCACUUAUUCCACAGACAAAGAUGAGAAAUUUAAGCAUAUAACUGAAGAAUACAGCUUUGCAAUAGUAUACAAUAAAAGUAGGCUCAACCUGGCAACCUUCUGUAACAGCUAGUAUAGAGCUUUCAUUUCCAUAACGCGAACUUUGCAUGAAGCACAGUGAUGUUGGAUACAAGAGUCUGUGAUUGCAACAUUAGCAACAGCAAAGGUUUCAGAAUGAUAGUCUCACAGUAUCACACAUGUAGUUGCAAGGCAACUUUACUGAAAGCUCGAUAAAAAUCUUAGGUGACACAUAUAGGUAUUCUAAAUCAUCAAUGAUCGAGAAGAUUGAGAAUAAGAGCAAAGGAUAACAAAUGCAGAAGGAAAGCAUAUUGCACAAUCAGUGAUUAUAGUGAAGUCUGUAGUCAACUUUAACAUUUAAACAUUUUAUCACUAAGGAAGCAUUAUGCAGUGAGAAAGACACCAUUAAUAUUUGGUCUUAGAUUAUGUGAAAACAGUACCUAUCAUAUAGAUAUUGCUCUUUAUUGAUUAGUUCAUAUUGUAUUAUGCUGAACAAAAUCGUCUAAAAUAUGUGAUCAACAAGCAGGAAUCAGGAUACCAUUUUGUUGUGAGAUGGUAUGCCUUAAACUGAAGUUUUGAACUGCCUCAGAACAUGACAUUUACAAAUUUCAAGUGAUUUAUUUAAAUCUUCCAGGUUUUGACUAUUACAGAUAAGAGUAAAACAAAUGAAAUUUAAUUUAUAUAAACUCAUGGUAAUUUCCUCAAGAAUUAACAGAAAUACUAUUCAGGCACCACAUCUAACAUGUAAUACUUACGUACAUAAUGUCCUAAUGUGAAUAUCCUGGUCAUAAACAUCAACGGUUUUGCAGAAGCUACGUGCAACAGCUGCCUGCAAUAAAACACCGUACAGAAAUAUAAGGUAGUAAAAACAAACUGGAGAACAAAUCAUGGGCUAUCAACCCUUAUUGAAUUAAAUGCUCAGAAAGGACGGAACAAAAGGAAGCACAUUUGUUCUGUUCAUUCAUUCUUAAUACAGGAAUGACAUCUCCAUACACAUACCUCUUUUCAUGUUUUAUGUACUAUGUAAUAUUCUACAAGUGUUCAGCUCUUCAGUUUAUUUCUCUUUUAUACCCAGCUUCCGUGAAUAAUAGUAGGCACUUGAGCCUACAAUUCCAAAUCUUUUCUUUUUCUUUAAAUAUUGUAACAUUGAAUUUACACCGGUUUGGGUAUGUACCUCAGAGAUUAAUGAAGGUGGAAGUCUGAAUUUUUAUUGACAUGAAAUAACAAUAAAAAGCCCUCCUGAACAAAAAGGUAUUACGAAAAUGAAAGGUUACUGAUUAACUCAUUACGCAGUAUACUUUCAAAAACAAGGUUUUACUAGAUAAGAAAAUACUCAAAGAAAACCUUACGUAUGAUUAUCAAUUGAUAGUAAAUGUCAAGCAACUGAAACAAAACGAAAAACACUUGGGGCUAUCUAAUUUCUGCACCUCCAAGCAAAUGCUUUUCAUAGCUUUAUCUUUUUUGGUAGGAAACGAACUUUCGUCAGAAUGAACAAGAGAACCAAUACAAUACGGGGGGGGGACUUGUCCGGGGGAAAAGUUAGAACUUAACAGCAACCAGCUACCUAAACCAAAAAUAAUUAAAGACAAGAUAAACACUACAGCAAUCAAAAGAAACUUAGAAGAAAAUUUGAAUGCCCAACAGCAGCCUCCAGAUAUAGACUUUAUACCACACAAAAAAUAACCGCUUCAUAACUUGUAUCCUUAAAAACCAACGAUUCUUGCUCAAAAAUAAUAAAAAGAUAAAGAUAUCUUCUAUGCAUCCGCCGCCUGCCAAACAUUGCAACCAAAGCACAUCUCCCUAGCACUGUAACCCCUCCUUCCUCCACCAGAGAAUUUAUUUAACUGAAAAUGAGGCUUGUUCCGGUGGACUUGUGUCUCCCUACACAAUCUUCCAACAGAGUUACAGCAAGUGAUAUGAACUUUUAGCACCUUGUUUACACAUCAUGUACCAGGGGCGAGAGAAACACCAAGAAAGCAGUCUCUUUUGAACCAUAUAACAAGACAGAAAUUUGAUUGAAUAAGAUUUAAAGAAUUGUAUGAAAAAUGUCCACAUUGCUUUAACGUACUAGGGAUUUGAAAAGGAAUUGAUCGUGAUUUUCAGCCUGCUCUUUCCAUGAAUCCUCUUAACUGAGAUAGAGAUAGGAACCAACAUAACAAUGCCAAAGCAGCCAGUACUCCACUAACCUCUCUCUCUCUCCUCCCUCCCCCCCCCNNNNNNNNNNNNNNNNNNNNNCCCCCCCCCCCCCCCAGAUCAUUUAAAUUUUUAAGAGACCUGAAGUUCCAACUCAAUGGAGAAGGUGAAUCUGCCCACAAGUUUGCAAUAUGGCUUUCAAAUGAAAUAUUAAUUAUAUGCAAGCAAAACAAUACAGAAAGCUGCUUAGCCAAAGGUUCAAUCUACCAGCUACCACAGAUGUUUAUCAGGACUUGAUGACAGAUAUAUCUGAUAUAUAUCGAUUGCUGGGGAGAGAAGAUAUAUAAUUGUCUAAUUUUCAUAAGAUUGGACUGCUAGCUGAAUUCAAACACCCCUUAUCUAAUUUUCCUAACACCAAAAACUUAUGCUCCAAAACAAAAGCCAAAAAUCUCCUUCAACACUGUCACGGCCUUCUCAAAAUCAAUUGUGAAAGCUAAUCCUUCUUCUUUCUUUUUUGUAACUUUCUCAAACCUCAAUUUCAAUUAAAAUCACUGCUAAAUGCCUCUCUUUUAUAAAUGCCCCUUGAGCUUGUGAAAUAGUACCUUCCAGCACUUCCCUAAAUCUUGAAACAAACUUUUGAACUAAUUUUGAGCAAGCUUGAAACUAAGCUGAUAGGGCUAAACAACCCCACCUCCGUAACUUCCACAUAUUUCAGGACUGAGCAAACAUAUGCUUCACUAUUAGUUAUAAAUUCCUGUAAAACUCCCCAUACAUCAAACUUGCUUUCAAAAUAUCCCAUCUGUGCUGAACCCAAAUCGCAACACUGCUGAUACAUUCCAAGGUGUUCCAACAAGACCAACAGUGCUUUACACAUUAUCUCAUGCUGUACCAAAAAGUCCCAAGUAACCUAUUAACACAAUUGCAGGACUUGAAAUGCUUCUUAUGUCUUGCCAAUUGACACGUAAAUUUGCCGCCUCACUUUGAUACUUAGUUAAAGAAGCCAUGACAUGUGGGUGUGAGCAAUCGUCUUUAUAUUUUGUUAUACUCAUUUAAGAAUGGAAGACCGACCACUUGAUGUUAUAUUUCCCAUUUUUGUCCCGAUUCCAUAUUUCAGCUGAUUUUCUCACAGGUGCAGAGUGUAAAAACCAGAGAGGUGUCAAAAGGAAAAGUAAACCAUACCAUGGACAAUUGUAUUGGAUUGAAGCAAAGACCAGCCCAUCCACUCUCUCCAAGGCCACAAUCUCGAGGCAGUACUGAAUAACUAAGCUUCUCUACAUCUGAAAGUUUAAUAGGUUACCACCACAAUUCAAAAGGCAAACACAAAACAGAGCAGAAAGGAAAAGGGUGAUAAACACAAACUUCAAACAAUAUGCCUUAAUUUAUUGACAUUCAUGCAUAUUGCUGAUGUUAAGGUGAUGGAUCAAAUGUGUAAAAUCAAUACAAGGGUAGACAAUCGGAUGCAUUUGGCAAAGCAUGGUUGCUUACUAAUAGCUGUCUACAGUACUCCCACAUGCUCCAAGUUUGCAUGACACUCAAGCUCCAGACAAGACAUCUAAAUUGGUAGAUAUUCAUUUCUUUUUUAUUUGGUUAAAAAGUUAGGUAGUUAUGCAGGAGUAGGGAUGUUUGAUGGGAAGAUCUUUUCCCCUGAAAAAUGUAGUUACUGCACCAUAGUUGCUUAUGGUUUCAAAUUGCCCGUUGUUUGAUAAUUAAUAUUAAUUAGAAAAGGGAAAUGAACCAGAGUUGUUCAAGAGUAGUCUAGUGUAGUUAAUAGUCUUUAUGAUACCUAAUUCCAUUAUAAGAUAAUAGAGCAGAGAAAAAAUUUUUCGUUUUCGUUUUCUUUUUCUUUUUCUUUUUGAUAAGAAACAAAUUUUAUUGAUCACAGUGAAUGAUAAAUAAAUAGUAACAGUGGACAAGUGACACAUCAAAGAGAAACAAACAGCAUAGACCAGAAUUCAACAAAAAAAUACUAUUAGUGAGAUGCAGACAAGCACCUUAACGAAUAUAUGCCUAGAUUACUGCUCUACAGUCGAGCAAUAUAUUAUAUAUGCUAGAAUUUCUGAUCUGCUGAAACAGAAGCCCACGAAGCUGCCAAAAGCUUCACUCUAACCCAAAGCUCUAUAAUCCCCGCACCUCUAUAAUCUUAAAAAUCCUUCAACUUUCUUUGCAUAAAAAGCACCCAAAUGCAAACUAAUACACCGCCGGCCAAGAGUUAGAGAGUGGCUUAUUUCUACUUCAGUCUUCUUCCAGUUCGCAGAACCCCACAACACCCUUGAUAUAAACAGAACUGUAUACUAAAACCUCACCCAGCAACUUGACUUUAAGUUGAUAGUGCAGGAUUCCAAAUGAUUUUUUUUUAGGGGAACAGGAUUCCAAAUGAUAAUUCUUUAGUUACUGCUUAAAAUACCAGCAGGAUCCUCGGUACAGUUUUGAAAUUAGUUUACAGACUGGUCUGCUAGUAGCAUCUCAAUGGGGUUUAGGCAACGCUAACAAAACUUUGGAAUAGAGUAAAGUUUUUUUUAGCUCUAUGGGCUACUGUCUUGGUACAUUUCAGAUCGUAGUUUUUCUAAUAUUUUGUUCGACAGGAAGACAGUUGUAGUCUUAGAUUUAUUUGGGAUGUCUUUUCAGCAGUUUACUGGUUUAGUCUGGUUUUUUCUGUUGUUUCACCCUGUUCUGGAGCUGUUGUCCUCUUUAAUUGUAUUUUGUGGUGAUAAAAAAAAGUAAAAAGAAAUUGAUGAUAAUAAUACUAACUCUAAACGAAUAAAGGGUUGAAAAAUUAGACUAAGAAGGUUGUCUUCCUCAAGGCAGCCAACAAAGUUAACAGAGAUUACAAGAAAGACGAAGAAUUGAUGUGUGUGGAACUGUGUAUCAUUUAUUUUGGCAUUGUCCUUUUUCACUUUAAAAUGAAAACGCAGAAAGGAAAGACAACUAGAAAAAACCCAAUAACCUUUACAGUUUUCAUAGUUAAAAAAAAUAAAAAAUAAAAACCUGUCUCCAAAAUAUGCAAAAAUUCCAGGCAAAAAUUUAGUUAAGUAUGACUCCAAAUAAUUCAACUCCCUGAAAACAUUUGAAAAAAGCCCAUCAAUGUCGUUAUCCUUUCUAUUUAUUUACAUAAAUUCUGCUAAGUCUCCACAUUAUCCAGAACAAGGAUAGCACAAAAAAAAAAAUCUAAAAGAAAACGUGUACCUUUACCAUCAGUGUCUAGUUUAGUUACAAUAAGGUGACCAUAAGAAUCCACAGUUCCCAACAUUGAAUAGCCAGUGCCUGCAUUUUGUAUCCAAAACAAUAAGCUUUUUGUCGAAAAGACAGAUACUGAACUGCUAGUAAAUUACAUACAUAUCAAAUACCAUUCUGAAUGAUUUCCAUGCAAUUUCUUAAGAAAUCUCUACAUUAUCUGAAAUGUUAUAUCAGCUUCUAAAUCAAAUCUCCUGCAUUAAAAGACUUUUGUGAAUUAUGAUAAAACAUGUUGGGGACACUGUCAUUAAAUUUGGAGUUUGAUGGUACAUUCCUAAAACCUAAUUCAGUGAAAAACUAUUUCUGGUCUUCCUUCAACUGAGAUGAGAAGAAAGUACAGAAUGCCCCUUAGAUUUGCAUGUUUCCCUUCUUGCCGGUUUUACCUUUACUCAAUUUCUCUCACAUCAUCAAUUUUACUGUCCCUAAUACUUAUUCCUAUUAAUUCACAUCUAUAUUUGGGCAUGGUACAGUUCACUUCUAUCUUCCAACAAUCCUAUUUCCCUUCAUACCAUACUUUGGGAAUGUACCGUGCACCCUCCAUGCUCUCUACUGCAUAAGACGUAAACAAGCCCUAGCACCCAAUAAUUGACACUGAUGGUAUGGAAAACAAUAAGACAUGUGAUAAAGAUAAUCUUCAAAAUGUAAACGAUAAAUGAGUCCAGAAUACACUCACUCUCAGUUUCAGCAAGCACAAUACUCUGUAUUUCUGAACGAUGCGGGCACCGAUUAACCAUAAAUGAGUUCAUAACCUUCAAGAAAUCAGAGCAUUGAUGAUAACAGAAUUAACAGAAAAUGUACCAAUUAGCAAACAGCCAUGAUUCAUUUCAUUAGAUCACAUACCUGCCUGUGAACAGGAAUCAGAAGGCUAUCUUUCCCUUCACUGACCAGAGAAUCGUCCAACGCAACCUUAAUUUAUAAACCAAAAAUGAAAAAGACACAGAAAGAAAAGACUAAACAAGAUCCUAGCUUUUCCACCAUACACUCGGACCAUUAACAUCAGUAGAGUAUAUCACAAAUACAUUUUGAUUUUGACAAAUGCUCAAGCAUUAUCCAUUCUAGUUUUCUAAGCUAUAAUCUUGUUUUUCUAUUGUAGACGGUUCAAAUUCAAUGAUAAAGGAAACAUUUCGCACUCGAACAUAGCUAAUCUAAUUCAUGUUUCCUUCGAUUUGUUAAAAGUCUCAGUGAAUCGAAGACCAGCAAAAUCACAUAGACCCAGUAAUCGGUGUAGUUUUCAUUCGGUAAUACAACAAAAAAACACUUAAUCAAUUAAGCAUGAACUGAGACACAAUCCAAGCUUAACUUUAACAUGCAUCAAUUUCGUAAAAUUGAAUCGAAUGUGAAAGAAAUAGAGAGAGAGAGAGAUGUACCUGGAGCUUGUAAAUUUGGCAACCGGAGGCGAUGUAGACCCAGCAAGAAGAGCCGUCCUGGCUGACCUGACAAAGAAUUGAAUUGAGCAUCAGACAAGCCAAAAGCCGUUAGGGUUAGGGUUUGGGAAGAAGUGGAGAGUAAGAAAUAUAUACAUGGAGAGCGAGGCGAGUGGAUUGGAGGUUAGCCGGAGAAGGAUGGUCUAUAAGAGAAGGCGGCACCGCCACUUUGGUCAAGCUCUUGGCUCUCAGCAUAUCUCUCUUAUCUACUUCUGCGAAUCGCAACAAGGAUUUGGAGUGCGCGGGAAUUGGAAUAACGGCUACAACGCUAUGGGGGGUUUUAGAGGCUGUUUAGGCUUUCUGAUUGUGCUCGAGUCAGAUUCAUUUCCUUUUUAUUUAUUUAUUUAGUUUUUCUUUUUUUUCUUUUUUGGUUUUUACCCGGCAUAUUUACACUUUGUUAUUUUUUUUUUUUAAACAUGGACUUGAACCCUUUUAUAUUCAGACGAAAAAUAACAGUUAUAACAUGACUUACUCGAUAGGGUAACGAUAGAAAAAAUCAUGUUAGAUAGCUCGAGAGCAAUCUAAAUUAAACUAUUAUGGAGUUUAACCAAACAAGAACAAAAACCAAAGUUAAAAGAACAUAAACAAAGUUUAGCAAUAGCCACAGGAAUGGCAUGCUCUAAACCUGUAAAAACGACCAUCUUGGAACCUUCCUACGUAGAGAAGGUUUUCCCGGGUUCCUUCAUCACCGCCAUGGUCGUCGGCAUCAUCUCUGGUACCCGGAUCUUUGGCUUAUGUCGUGCACCCAUCAGCACAGCAUAAUUGAAGCGUACUUCCAAAGCCCAUGGCAGCAAGUCCCAAUAAGCCUACAACCAAACUAUAUGGGCACCUAAUGACACUCCAUCUAGGACAACGUCGCUGCCACCGAGCUCCCCACCGUUUUUGUGAACCGCGACUGAACCUCCCGCGUCAGCGUCGGGACAUAGCGAGCUCAGAAACUUGCCAACUGUCUUAGCCAGCCCUCCACCUUCACAACCGCCACCACCAACGACCAACCAUGAACCAAGGGAACGUAAAACUAAUCGAGACCGCCACAUAUCAGGAUCUCCGAGCCCCUCCCCCGACCAGCACAGCUUGAAACGAACGCUCCCAGAUGCAUCAUUGUUUGUGAGAUUAGGAACCCCAUAGAAGAAGCUAUUAUUCUUUGAGAUUUUGUACCCUCCAAUGUGAACUCUAAGGAGUCCGACCUAGAAGACAAUGAGAGCAGUGAACCAAAGACUUUGAUUGCUCUUAUCCCAAAAGGGAAUACCCUUGUAGUGUUACCGACUUCAGGCCAAUAUCAUUGUGCAAAGUGGUGUAUAAAUUAAUUUUCAAGUCUAUUAUGAAUUGACUAAAGAGCAUGAUGUUGCAAAUCAUAUCUCCUUUUCAAAGUGCUUUUGUCAAGGGGCGACAAAUUCAUGACAACGUGAUUACUACCUUUGAACUAGUUUCACACGAUUCGGGCCAACAAAAACCCAAGUAUUGAUAAUCUUUUUGGUAUGUUUUGUGUGAGGAGCGUACCAGAAUAGUUGUUCUGCAUAAUGACGUUUUCUAACGGCUCUUUCACUGAGCUUUAUUAAUGGACGACCUAUCUUUCAAAAAAAAAUCCCAAGUGUUCCUAAGAUGGUGCUCAAGUUGGACAUUAGCAAAGCGUAUGACCAGGUCAAGUGGGGUUUCCUAGAGAAAAUGAUGUUGAAACUGGGGUUUGACAAUCAGUGGGUUGAUCUCAUCAUGCGUUGCAUCUGGUCCGUGAGAUUUUCUGUGCUUUGGCAAGGACAAGCUUUGGGGAAUUUCUCACCUUCUCGUGGAUUUCGCCAAGGGGAUCCUCUAUCUUCUUUCCUCUUCCUCUUAUGUUCUGAAAGGGUUGUCCAAUUUAUCUCAAAGAGCAAGUCGAGACGGUCAAAUUCAUGGUAUAAGUGUGGGGAAUGGACUGUCGGAUAUAACACAUAUGCUUUUUGUAGAUGAUAGCUUGGUGUUCUUAAAUGCCAGUUUGGAGGAUGUCACCGUAGUUAAUUAAGCAAUGUUUAUUACUAUGUUGCACGUACACGAACACUAACACGGCUACACGACACAGCGCGACACCCCGACACGAAAAAUCCAAAAAAUCUAAGAUCCGACACGGCUUAGACACGACAAAUAAUUAAUAUAUUUAUGUAUUUUAAUAUAUAAAUGAAAUACUAAAAACAUAAGUUUUGAGACCAUAUGCGGUUAUCAGCAAAGAGAUGUUAUAAUUGAAUGGAGAUUAAGAAACUUGGUGACUAAUUUGAAGUGGAAAAGGGAGAUGAAGGAAGAGGGGAAAAGUGAUAAAGGGAGAUUAAGUUGGAGUUUACAAACUAGAUCAAACUAUUAGAGUUUAAACAUUGGCUAGAAGGGAUAUAUCAUAUAUCAGCACUCAUUAUUAUUAUUAUUAUUAUUUUGCUGUUUAGAGGUUGUGAUAGUUUUUUUUUUGGNNNNNNNNNNNNNNNNNNNNUGGCGUGUCAGAUGAUUACAUGACGUGUCGGUCAAAGUGUCGGGCCGUGUCGAAAAAGUCAACUUUUUCUGACACGCCACGUGGCGCGUCGGACAACGCAUCAAGGCAUGUCGGACACCGCGUCAAGACGUGUCGUGUCAUGUUGGCGUGUCAGACACUCCGACACUCCGCCCUCAGAAGUGUCCAUGCAACAUAAGUUUAUUACUUUAUGAGCGAGCAGCUGGUCAGAAAAUUAAUUUCCAAAAGUCUGUGACUUCCUUUGGGCCAGGAGUUUCGAAUGAGACGAAGAAUGAGAUUUUGAAUUUUUUAGGAGUUUCAAGUGUCUUUCCAUGAGCGCUACUUGGGCCUUACGAUAGUAGCAAGAAAAAGUAAAAAGCAAAUGUUCAAGAGUAUUAAUGAUAAAUUAGAUUUGCAUAUGAAUGGCUGGAAGAGCAAGUUUCUGUAGAAAGGUGAUAAAAUGGUACCUAUUAAGGCAGUGGCUCAAGCGAUCCCUACAUAUACUAUAUAUGAUAGUGUUCUAACUUCCUAAAGGGGUUUGUAAAAUCUUUUCAGUCAAAAAUUUCUAGGUACUGGUGGGGUGAUAGCAAAGAAAGAAAGAGUACAUAUUCAUUGGGGCAGGUGGAGUCUUUUGUGUCAAAAAAACAAAUACGGAGACUUGGAGUUUAUAGAUUUCGAAGACUUUAAUCAAGCAUGGUUGGCUAACACGGUGUGGCGUUUAGCUACCAAUCCGAGCUCAUUGGUUCAUGGAAAUAUGCAAGCAAAUUACUUUUCUGAUGGAAAUUGGGUGAGGAAAUCGGCAGAUCGGAAAUCAUCCAUGAUUUGGAGCGCUAUUAGUCUGAUUUAGGGUUGUGACUUAUUAUGUCAAUGGCUUAGAUGAAGGGUUGGCAAUGAGAACAAUAUAAAGGUGUGCGAGGCUAGGUGGUUACCGGUUCCAUGGAGCUUCGAAGUUACUUCCCCAAGAUCUGGGGACCUAAACCUAAAUGUUAGUGAUCUUUUUACUCAACAUGGGAUGUGUAAUGUGGCUUUGCUUCAUAAUCUCUUUCUUCCUCAUGAAGUGGAAAUUAUAUUAUCCAUUCCUUUAGCUGGGUUGUGUGGACUUACGCCAUUUUGGUGUCAUGUCCCGUGUCAGAUGCGGACACAGACACGACUGGACACGACAAAAAAUGGUCGGACACGCAGGGGACACGCGCGUAUCUGAAGUGGACACGUGCAUAUCCGGAUAGGAUACACAAUAAGCAUGACACGGGGUAAAAUUGACGUUUAUACAAAAAAAAAAAAAAACAAUUAGGUCAACCUUUACUCUCAGCUGCAUAGCGUGUUCAUUCCUUCUCUAAUUCUCUUUAGGACAACGCAGAGACACAUCGUUGGGGAUCUUCUUCGAUUGAUUGAUUGGUGGCUUGGUGCUCCAGCUAGUGUACGGAUACGUUCUCGACUUCUCUUACUUCUCUAAUUUCUCCAAGCUAUGUUUGCUUCUGUAUUAACCUAUUUGCUAUGUUUCUGAUUCCUUUGCUUUCGAUCAACUCCUAGUAGUAGAUGAUAUAGCUCUGCAAUAUUGACUAAGUUUUAAUUUAAGAAACCAUAUUUUUAUUAUAUAUAUUACAUUAAAAAUAAAAAAUUAAAUAACGUGUCCAUCACGUGUUCAUUCUAAAAAAAUAAAAAAUUUAGCGUGUCCGCGUAUUAUAUUGUGUCGGAUUCGGACAGGCUUACUCGUAUCCGUGCUUCAUAUGGAACAACACUAAAGAUGGUGUCUUUUGGUGAAGUUUAAGGUUUGGUACUGUUAGCAUCUCGCUUUUCGACUGUGAUCCAGCAGGUAUCAGAAUGUAUUCAUAUUAUUUUGUUAAGACGUAUAACAAGGUCUUCAAUAGUGUAAACUUAACUUGCCCUUAUGGGUGGCUCUUCUCAAUCAAAUUGUCAAGGUAUAGAUGGUCAUUUUCGAAUCAUACCCAAAAAAAAGGUCAUUUUCGAAGCUCACCACACACAGUGUAGACGACGGCUUGUUCAAAAACAGAGCAAAUAGAUCACAAAACCAAUGAGCCUAAUCAACUCCCAACUUAAGCAGCUAAAAGGUGGGCCCUCAUGUUGGGGUCAGCUCAGCCUGUAACGUCAUGUUUACAGUCAAACUCGAAAUUUAGAGAAGAUUGAUGAAAAUUGUAAGUUCAGGGAUUAAACUGAUUUUAGCCUCAAAGUUUAAGGAGGUAAACUGAAUUUAAUCCUAGUAUAAAUUUGCAAAAGUGUCUAGUAGUAUUGCAACUUUUUUUUUUUCCAUCUAUUUUGAUUUCACAAUAAUCGAUGCAAUUUUGCAUUACAUUUUGGUUAAUUUGAUUCAAAUAGGUUGAAAUAACUGGCUUUUUCUUCUGCUUCAAAAUCUUGUUUCAUUAUCAUAAUGGAAACAGUGGUAACAAUCUACAGGUUGAUUUUGUAUCUCUGAAAUGAAGAAAAUGACCGGAAUUAUAAUGGAACAAGAAGUCAAGAACUGCUAUAUCAUAGGGACCAAAACUGCAAUCCAAUCAAAACACAAUCCCUCAAACCGAGUAUCACUAGAGUGCAUCGGUUGCAACUCUUUUUUGGACAAUAAUAUAGAUUGUAACUUCUUUUUUUUUUUAGUAAGAAUAUAGAUUGUAACUAAAACGAUGAUCCUGGAGCUCUCUCUAUAUACAUUUUCUUCCCUUGAGUAAUGAUAUCUCUCUUUCUCGUUUGUGAAAAUAAAAUGUCAAUUCAGUGCUAUUUUAAAUUAGAAAAAAUAAGACAAAUGAAAUAAAAGGUGUGUUAUUAGAACACUUGAGCAGCAAGGCUGAAUGUUGAAUGCACCUCCAGUCAUAUGGUGAAGCAUUAAAGGCUAUGCUUUUUGUUAAUAUCAUGAAACACACAGACGUUGCUACAAAGUCUUUGCAAUGAUUCAACUUGAAGCUGAUCAGCUACAUGCAGGCGAAUAUUUGGUAGACAAGCUGCAAAGAAACCUCUUAUAGGGGUUGCAAGGGUUGUUAUUAACUUAUUAUUGUGUAACAAAUAAGAGUUAGGCAUCCAUGGUCUAGAUAAAAAUCCUUGAAAUCUUAAUACUACUCAUAAUCUGGAAGAAUUUGUAAACUUGAUGUCCUUUCCCAACAGGAAAGAUGAACUGCAAAACAUGAAUUUUGAAGACUAUCAUAAGGGUUAAACUAGGGGAAAAUUGAGGAAGAGAUGAUCAUAGGAGACCUCUAAAACCCAAAUCAAUUGUCAUAAAAUACGUAGCGAUCAAAGGGUGUUUGUUCUUUGAGACGAUAUCAGUAUAGUAGGAAUGGAAUGGUUCAUUGAUUUGGGAAGAAUAGCGGGGUAUAUAAGUGAAAGAAUAAACGUGAAGACAUUUUGGCCAUAGACAUUUACCUACAUCCAUUGUUGUGCUAUAUGUUAUUCAGGCAGAUUUAUUUUGUUGCACCAGAUAUUGCAACUUUGCAACCUUGGUUUCUUCUAUUUGAAUUUGGCAAACAUUAUCAGUUUCCAUUAAAUUAUGGCUGAUUCAAGAUUUUGUAUUUUGUUCAACUUGAAUGUCUAGUUUCACCAUCGGAAUGUCUAACAAUCAACACAUCCAUUUAUAAAUUCAGAUUGAAGAAAAUGAUCGCAUCCCAAGAAUUUGAACUAAAGUUGGGAUAACAGACCAAAACUGCAACCUCAUCCAAAAUGCAAUCCCUCAACUGAGUUUUGCUUUAGUGAAUAUAUGGCAAUUGAAACCAUAGUCCUGGAGCUCUCUCUCUAGGUGCAUUGUGUUCUGUUAGCAAGAGAUAUUUUUGUUCUGAGGUUGAAAAUAAGUCACCAUAUUCAACCUAGUGCUCUCUCAAUCCGAAAGAAUAAAACCAAUGAGAAAGGUGUCAUAAAUUUUUCAUCAGUGUGUCUCACAAGAAUAAAGCAAACCCAUCUGCUAAUGUUUACAUAUUUGAAUUAGAACUGAGCAGCAAGGCUGACUGUAGAAUGCUCCUCCAGUCGUAUUUGCUAAGCAUUAUGAGCUGUGCUUCUUGUUGAUAUCAUGAAGCACACACACGUCUGCUGCUGUCUUCAACUGAACUCAUGAAAUCCACAUACAAAGAAUUAGAAGACAAACUUGAAUCUGAUCAGAUACACCAAUGACAAUAUUUGGUAGACAAGCUACAAAGAAACCUCAAAUGUGGAUAACUACGGUUUUUAUUGAGUGAACCAAAAUAAGAGUUAAGCAUCCAUGGUCAAGAAUAAAGUCUUGGAAACUUAUGCUGUCAUAAACUGUAAACCCUAAUUUGUAAACUUAUGUUAAAUUCAAAAUCUUUUCAACCAUCUUGAUGUCAUUCCCCAACAAAUAUGAUAUUAGUGAUGGUCAUAGAACAAGGAACAUCACUACCACUACAUUAGAGCUAUUAAAAUAAUCAAGUAUCACCUCACUGUCACCUGAAGUCUUCAACGCUUAUGUAGCACACUAGUCUAAUCCAUAAACUAUACCAGAUUAAAUUAAGCAUUAAGAUCGUCAUGAUGUGAAUGGAUGAUUUCUUAACGAAUGGUGAACUUCAGAAAACCAUAACAUUAAUAAGCAAAUAUGUUGAUUUACUGUUUGAGGUUGGACCUCAAGUACUCUGCAUUCAUUUUCAGGCAGAUUACACACUUCUAUAAUGUCCAAUUUAAAUCAAGGAGUCGCUAUUCAUUACCUGUAUACAAUUGACUGCUUGUUUGACAGCCCAUCCAAAUAAACUCAAACCAACUAGAACAGAAAGAGGUGUAAUAUGGUGUGCAAGACACAAUAAAACCUGAGAAGAAAACGUUCAGAAACCAUAAUAAUCUGGAACUAUCUCUUUUUAUCCAAACAAAAACCACACCACUUACAUCAAUCAAAUUCUCAGAUUCGUUCUUUGCAACAAGAAAUAGAAUGAUAUAAAGCACCUGUGAAGUGAAAAGUUAAAUCACGAGAAGUGGCAACUGCACCUAUUGAAAAGAAGAAAAAAAAAAAAAAAAAAAAACAAAAAAAACAAAGAGAAUACAGACAAAAGUUAUAAUUACCUCGCAUGCCACACAACAGUAAGCCAUAAACAUCCGAUUCCCGUAGUAUGCUCUGAAAAGCCAAUUAGUGCUGUCUUUCACAUCUUUGUGACUAGCCUUGCCAAGUAGAAAUGUACUGGAAAUAAAGGAUUUGCACUAUUAGUAAACUAAAUUUUUGUAGACAAUCUAAUGACCAAAAUUAUACAUUUGAUAAAAUGACAACAAGGAUGGAGAAUAACCUGUACAUCUGCAGCCAGUGGCUACCAAUAUCUAAAGCAAGCAACGACAGGAAAAUCAAUCCAGGCCUACAUUGACAGCCACUAGAAGCUAAGAUAAACAUGCAUAUAUAGUUACAGCAACAUAUAAAGAAAAUGUCUCACCGAUAGACUUGUGACAGAAUUACCAAGAGACAUGCAGUGCUUAUCCUGAGACGCAACAUAAGAAUCAAUAUCGUCGGUGUAGAAAAUUACACAAGAAAUACAUGAGGGUGGGAGGGAGGGAGGGAGGGAGAGAACCUGUCUGUUACCAUGUCCAAAACGGCUCCAAAUGUUGAAACUGCAUCAGGAAGAUGAAUCAAAUGAAAUUCUUUGUGAUCAAUUAAAAUUUACAAAUCACUGUUGCAGAAAAUAAAUCUCAUCAUAUGUGCCAGCAAAAAACUCUUAUUUUACCAGUUACCGGACAGUAAACAAUGACAGCACUUAAGUAGUGGAAUUAUGUAAGCCUCAGUAGAGUAAGAAGGCUAUUAUACAUUGCGAUAACCAAAAAAAGAACAAGGCCACAACCUGUGAAUCAAUGUUUAGAUAUCUAUGAACAGAUAUGCUUGAAAACCUCUAUUAACUAGCUAGCAGUUCAAGCCUAAGUAACAUGUAUGGUGAAAAAGGCAUGGCAGAGUCGAGAAGUGUAACCACCUAUGGAACUAAAAGCAAAUAGAGUUGGCAAGACUAAAUGACUUGAAAAACUUGUGUUGAACGGAUUAUGUGCUAGCACAGUUUGCAUUACUGUAGUUAUACUUGGUAUUUGUAAGAUGAUAGCAGGAUUUUGAGUUCAAUCACAUUCUAGUUUCGCAGAAGUUUAAUUGUCUGAAACUCUCAAUCACCUCGGCUCGUGUUCUUAUCUGUUUGUUAACCUGAGAGUCUACCAUUCAAUUUACAGUUCUUAUUAAAAAAAAAAUAAUAAUAAUAAUACAUUAAAAAAAAAACAACAGUAAGGUUCUCAAUGUCAGGGUUGCAAGCAGAUACCAAAACACAGCAUCAGCUAAGUUGUUUGUACAAAAGCAUGUAAUGCACACACCAAAUAAUUCAUACCUUGAUUGAAUUUGCGAGCACACCAACCAUCUACUCCAUCACAGACAAAGCUGGAACAACACAUUUUAAUCAUAUCUUUUUAACUAACAUACACAUUGAAUAAAACAAAGCUCAAAAUUAUGGUUGCAUAUGUACAAUGGUUUUGAAAUAAGAGGUUAAGAAAUUAUUUAUUUACUUGCCUUUUUUUUUGGAACAGAUGUUUAGUAUGAAAAUACCUUUUUUUUUCUAAGUUCUCUGGUGGAAUCAAAGGGAAAGCUCGACAUUCUAGUGAUAUACAGUAUAGAUUAUUAUUAUUAUUAUUUGUUUUUGCCUUGAGUAUCUAAACUCCACCCUACCCUCUUUUUCAAAUCAUGGAUUCUCAUUUCUCCAACACUAAAACAACUUGCAUUCAAACCUUUAAGAAUCCAAGUUCAAACACAACAUAAUAUUUCUUCAAAAGCACAUAUACAGUACUUCAUCAUUUUUUCCAAAACAAAUCAAUAAAAAGAAUAUAUUCUAACCUGACAAAAUAGAGAAUGGAGAAAAGUGAUUUGUUGGAGAAGCAUAUGGCAAAAGCAUAACAGUUCAUAAGAACCCUAAUGUACCCUGCAUUUCCAGAAGAAUAGAAAGAGAGCUUUUGGGUUAACCUCAACAAGUAUUUUGAAAGUAACAUGUAACCAACACAAGAAUGUCAAGAACAUUUACUCACCAAUUAUAUUAGGUAUGUAAAGGUAGACGGAAAGCUUUGUUAGCUUUUGUUGUGGUACUGAUUUCUUGGCCAUUGAAACUUGUUUUUUAAACUUAAAAUUAUAAAAAACGCAUCGGAUUUAGCAAAAUAUUGGUAGCUCCUGCACACACCCAAGAAACUUUCUUUAUCACAACCCAUUUAUUCCAGCAUUUCUAUAACAAAUAUAGAAACGGCAACACUACAUACAUCAAAAGAAAACAAUAAUCACAGAAAAUCAUCUAAACUAAACAGGAACAUCUGACGCAUUAAAUGAAUUCAAUGCUGAGGAAAAGUAGUUUGUACUAAAUCAACUUCAAACCCAGAACCAAGUCUACCAGACAGACAGGUAUUCACUGCAAGACUAACCUCGGAAUCAAAAGGCCAAUUCCCCUAUGUUUCUCCAAAAAUUGCAAAAAUGUAUGGGACGAAGUCUCGGUAGCUUCUGUAUUUCAACUUGGGAUCCCUUCAAUUCAAACAACACACAAUGAUUCACUGCUCUAUCAUUCUUUAACUAAACUAGUAAAACAGCAUCUAACAAGUUUUCAAUAUUCUCAAAACCUCACACACACUUUUCUUCUCAAACACAUACCCAUAACACACACUCCAUUCUCAAAUCUGAUACUACCGAAAGACCAGAGUCAAGUCCUAAUCUUGAAAAUAUUUCGAACAACGGUAAUUUCUAAGCGAAACCUGGAAAAUGAUCGGCUGGUAACGUAAUCAAAUGGGGAAUCGAAAGAAAGAGAGAAACCUGAAUAGAAGAGGAAACCCGAAAUGGGAUGAGCGCCGAGGGCUGUGUUUGAAGUAGUGGUGACUAAUACAGCACAAAUGAUAGAAAAGACUCGUAGCCCAGAAAUGAGUUAUCCAUCACAAGGCUUAUAAAUGGAAUCAGAAAUAUUAAUCUAAAUCACAACAUAAAAUCAGAUGCAAAUUGCAUUCUCGACUAAUACCAUACAAGAUGUAAGGAUCUAAUAAACAAAGAACAACUAAACUGACCAUGCAAAUGAGUUUCAACUUUCAAGGAAAGGUUUCGGGGGAGAGACAUGUUCUUCCGUCUCUUAACUAUUGAGAGAGGGAUGAAAGGUCGAAAGUACCCUUCAGAACUAAAUACGACACUGAAGCAUAACUUUCGACCUAAGUCAGACAUAUUUGACCAGUACCAGAGGAUUUUUUUUUUUUGAGAGGAAAAAGAAAUUAUAACAAAGAGCCUUUCAGGUGACCAAUAGUCUAAUACAAGAAGAAUUCAUAAGAAGAGCUAUCUCAGCUUGGGGAGGGAUCCCAUCAAACCAACACAUCGGUGAGAAAAGAGAAUGACCAACCGAAGCAAGAGCGUUCACAAGAAAAUUCAUCUCUCUGUACGUACGAGAGAAAGUGAUGCUGACAAAAGAAUCCGCAAAAGCUAAUACAUCUCGGAUCAAAGACUUGAGCUUCCAAGGAAUAGCACAAACCCUUUUGACACAGUUGAUGAUAAGGGAAGAGUCUCCUUCAACUUCGAUUUGGUUACAGUUGCGUCUUUUAGCGGCAAGAGCCCUUCUUUUAAAAUAGAUAUUGCUCAAGUCAUAUUUGGCACUCUUUGCUUUGUGACUGCACUAGGAAUGCAGAUCAAUCGAAACAAGGUGCUUAGAUGGGUCUUGCUCUUCCCUAUUAGUGAGUUUAGGUUCCGCUAUCACCAACCUUCAUCUCGAUUCGUGGAGUAGUUUCGGCACUACCAGUUGUGAUACUUCGUUCACUCUACUUCUUCGUCCCCGACACCAAUUUCUCUUAAUCAAUCAAAACCAUGAUUAGUAAUACGUCUUCACAUUUGCAUUGUAGGUGGGAAAUCUCCUGACCAGCCCUGCUACUCUUCAUACUCCAUACACCUUCCACCAUAGUAUAGAUAAGGAAAACCAUGUUGCUUCGGGAGACAAUAGCCAUCUUUCUGUUUGGUUUAACAAAUUUCCAUGAGGGUACCCUUGUUCUUUUCAGUUUUCAGAAAGAAAUAAAAGGUCCCAUGAGGCCAUGAGGCCAUGAUCCCAUCUGUUCCUCUAAUCAGCUAAUCCUAGGGUCUACACAGUUUUAUAUCAUUCUUUUCAAGGCACAUAAUAGAACAAUGAAGCCGAUACAGGAGAGGAAAUAACAAAAUAAAAUAAGAAGAAAAAAAACAACAGGGAGAGACGGGCCCCCUCUCACUAGUGUGCACUGAUGUUGUUCUGCAGUGACUUUUGAUACAACACACAACCUAUAUGAAAGGUCCUAGAAAGGAUUACAAAGAGAACAAUUACUACAAUCUCUAGUUAUUGCCAUAAUCUCUUCUAUUCACAUGCUAAUUUGGUGUCAAAGCUACUCAGGCAGAUAGCAAAGGCCUGAAAUGCAGACAAAGGAUACCGGUAAUCCAUAGUAAACAUAUCCUUGCCAACUUUACCAAACUGAAGUAUGAUCUUGUCGUGGUCUGAUGGAGCUGGCUGCGGGGGCUGUGAAGGUGUUGGUGCACCAGCUGCAGAUUGAGUCGUAGCAGCUAUCAAUUGAAAGUUUUUUACUGAGGCCACAGUCACCCGUCCCCGGAAGUUUAGGCACCAACACUGCAACUGUUCAUGCCAUCUCGGUGCCUUGUUCCGAAGAACCAAUGGCCUCUCUUUUCCCUCCUCUUCAAAACGGGAGGACCCCCCAACAAUAUCAGAGAAUCGAGCACUGCUAAACUCAGUUGAAGUAUCAAUUGAUUUUGAGAAUGAAAUGCUCCGGAAUGAGUCCUCAAGAGAGCGCUGGAGAAGCUCGGGCUGGCCAGGGACAGAGCCACCAGGCUCAAGGGAUGAGGCAGGGAUUGAGUGCAUGCUACAGUGCAUCCUGCGUGGACCCCUAGUGCCGAGCACAUUUAACUCAUAUGUCACUUGCGCUAUGUUGUAGCUGCCAGUAGGAACCUUAGGAGAAACCUUUUUUGAGUUAAAUCGACGGCUUCGGCCAGGUGGGGAAAGCUGAGCAUUGUUGUAUGGAGGCUGGGUAUCAUAAAUAAUGAACUUGGUGCCUAGAAAAUUGGAUCUGAAACAAAGAGAAGAAUGGGAGAUACAAAUCAGUAUAAACAAGAUGGAAACUACAGAAACUCUGAGUGAAAACAAUAGAGAAGCUCUGAGUGAAAACAAUAGAGCUUCCAAUAGUAUUAACUACCAAAACAUAUAUAUAGCUAAACAUAAAUUGUUAAGCUGAGUUUCCAAUAGUAUUAACUACCAAAAUUCACUACAAGACAGCUUCCAGCAAUAUAAUAUUACUAGCACAAAAUCAAGUCCAAGUCUCCCACAAAAUUUCAUUAAAAUUUCAUGUAGAGUUCACUUAAUGUUGCAGCAUGGCACAUGUUUGAACAUUUCAGUUUAUUAUGGUCUUUUCUGGAAUAACUUAAUUAUAAAUUUCAAGCAUACAAUAAAAUCACUGAAAAGACAAUUGACAAAACCCACCUCAGUUUCCCAAUGUAUUUGUUACUUGAUCGUGAUAUGUUAUCUGCAUCCAUGGAGAUCACAUACUCUGUGCAUGUAGUUCUUCGUGUUCGCUUGGCAGACAGAAGAAAUUUUCCAUUUUCAACAAGCAAAGCUGCAAAGAAUAUGCCAAUGGUCAACAGGAGAUCUAACAUAAAAUCGUAUGCAGCAAGUGCAUCAAGAUGCAAAUCAUGUUCUAGAAAGUUCAUAGACAAGUUAUUGUCAUACAACCGGAUUCAAGCAUAGACGGCAGAAUUAACUAUAGGUUCAAUAAUGGGCAGGUACAGUUGGCACUUAACUGCACUAACUAAGAAUUACCAAGUUCAACUAGGCCUAUCUAGCUGGUGCAAUUUUCACCAGCUGAACCAAGUGCAUUGGGCACUGAAAAAAGGUUUGCACGAACAGACACAAGUGGAAAUACAUAGCAGGAACAGUAUUGGCAAGUUAGCACAGUUUACAUCCAUGGAAUACGUGAGCUGGAUAUCAAAUCUACGCAGCUGGGCUCUAUAGGGUACAUCUGACCAAUCAAAAAUGGUCUUAGACCUUAAUAGAAUGUCAACAAAUAAAAUACAAUUCAACAGUGUUCAUAAUAACCUGCCAAAAUAGGACCUAUAGGAUCCAUGCCAAUUUUUGACAACAUGACAAUAUACUCAUCAUGUAUAGAGUGAAUUAACUAUACAUUUACCAGAAACCACUCUUACAGUAGAGAGCGUCUCUAGUUUUGGCAUAGACAUUCACAAAACUUACAAUUCCAAACCUUUCUAACAUUGUUUAUCAUGUCAACAGACAAAGCACAACGCAAAUUUAAUGCUGGAUUAAUUGCUCUCAUGAAAGGUUACAAGCUGUUGGAGGCUCUGGGAAAUAGGCAGGUUAUCAUUCAAACAGAACGUCUACUAUUGGUACAAUCAUUAACACAAGGCGACACACAUUUGUCAAGCAUGGAUCUGGUUGUAGGUGAAGCUCGAGAGUUUUUGGAUAGAAACUUAGAGUUUAAGGUACGCCACACCCCUCAUGAAGCUAACAAGUCCAUGUACUCACAAAUCAUGCUUUACAAUGAGGGUCAAGCAUGGUAUGUUGUUAUUAUAAGGGAUGUCAUUCUAAGUGAUUGUUAGCACUAAUUAUUUCAAUGAAAUCCUCUUUAAAAAAAACAAAUAAAAAAAACUAAAUAAUAAUAAUAAUAAUGAAAACAAAUUUUAUAGAUGAUCAUAAUUAUACUUUAAAUUCCUACCAAUCAUCAGUAUCUCAUUGAACUCCAAAAUACAAUUGUCUUAGAGACUUACCAGGGCUAAGGCACAGGUAAAGGUGGUAAGUUAAAUUCGAUUUGUCCCUCUUGAUGAAGCACUGGAUUGUUCCAUCCCGAGACCCAGGCUGUAAAAGACAUAAUUUAACAAUUUGUCAGCUGCCAAGUAAUCAAACCAACCUCUCAUUUAAAGAAACAAGUAAGCACAGACGGAAUGAUACAAAUGAUAAAGGCAGGUUAAGACAUUAAAAGACAUAGUCAUGUUCAUUUUUUUUCUUUUAUCUUUCUCAAGUGCAUCAUAAACAAGGCAGGCUCUCACCUGCUUCAGGGAAACUGGGAAAGUAAUCUUCCCAGAAAAUUCAGGACUUUUGACAAUUUCUUUGCACAUUUCCCUCCAUGACCUGCAUACGGAAGCACAAGAAACAACAUGCUUGCGAGCAGGCCAUGUACUCUCACUAGCCUCCAACCUUUUUAUUACAUCACGAAGUAGUUCAGGUGGGAGGCUAGCCCAGCGGCUAUUCUGGAUUACAAGAGGUUGGUCAUGCAGCUCAUGGACUGAACCGUGCGAUUUUCCCCUGUGAUGGCCAGGCAGUCUCACCUCAAAACUUCUUCUCGAUAAACUUCCAAACCCAUCUCUUACAUCUCGAACUAUACUGCGAAACGACAUUUACUCUGGCAUGCAAAUAUCACCAGAUGUUUACUAUGUCUUCAAUACAAGAGCUUAAGUUAUACUCCACUGGGUACAGCUGCAAAUCAACGAAACUGGAUUCAAAUUCCUGUUAUAAUCCUUAAUAAACAAGGGGAAAAAAGGAAGAAGACUGGUUCAGAAAAAGCACAAAGCAAGAAAGAGAUUCUUGUUAAAGAAAGCCUCAUUCACACAUGGACCUAAAGCAGCCUAAAGUAUCAGGCUUUAUCCAGAUACAACUUUCACUGGAUUUUAAAGCUGAAGAACUAGCCAGAAUACAAUUAAUUCAAACUAAAAUUCUUAUUCUGUAGAAUUACAAUGACCACCCUUCAAAAAAGAUAGACCUAACGACCAGAAAUGUCAUCCUUACGAAACUGAAUUUAGAAUGCCUACAAGUUGUUACUCUAAAAUUUGAUAUUCAAAAGCCUCGCAAGACAAAAGGAAUGUCAAUAAAAGCCAAAAUUGCUUUCCUUUUUCCUAUCCUUCGUUAUUUUUGAACUACGAAUGCAAGUAAGUUGUAAAAGUUUAUGGCUCUUCUACGACUCCAAUCAAUUAACAGAGAAACAGGAGGAGAGAGAGCGAACCCAGAAAUUAAGUUAAUGAAACAUUGCUUCACCCACUGAAGCCUUCAGAUAUCCGUGACCAAUAGCCUCCUGCAAUUAUAACUAUUGGAAUGUUAAAAAUGUUUACAACUUAACAAAUUCAGUCCGCAAAUCCUGAAAUCUAAGUAGGACAACCACCAGAAAAGUUCAAUUCUUUUCCAUCCCCAAUCACAUAUAUCAAAAAUAUAUGAAAACAACCUGACGUAACAAAACAACAUGAAAACACUUUAGAUCUCCUUAUCUUCUUUAAACUGGAAAGCACUCAUAGUAAAAACCCCAAAAACUCUAAAAACUCAUGAAACUAUGCAAAUCAGAGCACAACCCACAUCAAAAUGUGGAGCUUAAAACCCCAUAAACAAACUCACCUCAAAAAUUCAGAUAUAACCCAUCAAAAAUUCAAACCCAAAAACCAUAUACAACCCAUCAAACGCUUCAAGAACCAAACUUUCCAACACCCUUUAGAGCAGCAAAGAAAAAACUUACCAAUCAGAUGACCCAAUCCCAGGUGGGGGCCAAACAGAGGGAAAAAGCCCAGAACUUCACAAAAGUCGCGAUCCAAACACGGCCUUAAGAUUAAGAUCAGAACCAGCUCUUCUUCUGCUCUGUCUCUCUGUCUCUCUAAGUGUGAGAGAAGACCCGGACUUGAACUCUUUAUUCAAUCCACUUCACGAACUAAUAUGCUUUUUUAACUUAAUCCCCCGCAUUAAUUUAAUCCAUCUCCUCCUUGUCUUAAGUUUUAUUUAAACGCCCACUUGAGCAUGGUCGAGAUUACGAUCUCGCCCCUAACGGUUGACUUUUACCGUUUCCGUUCAACUCCCUCCGCUUCCGUAACCCGACCAACCGCGUUUCUUAUGGCGAGAUUCCAACGCAAAGGCCGCUAAACGUGGGCACCGUGCUCCGCGGUGCUCGGCCUUAUCCUGUGGAUGCAGACGUGGCGAUGAUGAUGACCGUUGAUUUGGUGGAAGGUUGGGAUUUGGGACGGGGUGGGGAGAUUAUGACAUGAGGCACGCUGUUAUGAUGGAAGCUUGUGGGAGGAUGGUGGAAUAGACGAAUUUGGACAUGGUAGGUUAGGGGUAUGGACUUGUGUGUCCCGUGUAGUUGGGUCUCUACGAGGAGGCCCCGUGUGCUGCCACGUGGGCUUUUUUAUGCGUCCCCAUGCAUGUGUUUUGGUGGAGAAAAUUUUACGUGUCACGUGUUCUGUGUGACUCACCAGUCACACAACAACACGUGCUUUUUUUUUUUUCACAACUCUUCUUCUUCCUUCCUCUCUCUUCUCCGACGAAACCGAUCCCCUCUGGCGAAGCUUGGGAGGUCUUGGAGGAAGGAUUGUCCUUCUUUAGGCAACCUUUAGGUUAAAGGUACUUUGAUCCUUGUUGAGAAUUUACUAAGGGUUAUUAAUUGUGUAAUUCUAGGUGAUUGUGAAGUGUGAAUGGCUUGGCUCUUUUGUUGUGUUUUGUUGUGUUGAAGACGCAGCAAGAAUAUGUAGAUGAGUAAAUCUCACCAAGGUUCACUUUGGGACCAAUUAAUUAUGGUCAAUAUGAUGAUGAUUAUGAUGAUAAUUGUGAUGAUGAUGAUGAUGAUUAUAAUGAUUAUUAUUAAAAAAAAUUAUGUUUUUUGUUUGUUUUAAAAUAUAUAAGCUUGAUCGCCAAUGGCUCAUAGGUAAGUUAAAACAAGUUUUCCUACUAUAUGAUUAUUAUUAAGGUUCAUGUGAUCAUAAUGUUUUUGGCUAUUGAUAGAUUAUUCUUGUGGGGAUAUCUAUGUUUGUUCGUAUAAAUAUAUCUAUGUGGAAUGAUAUAAUUUUAUGAUGUGCUCCUUGUGUUGAUUGAUGAUGAUUUUAUUAUAUUGUGAUUUGUGAUUUAGAUAGUCAAACUGGGUUCCAAGCCUUUAAUCGGGUGAUUGGUUACGGUUAUGAUGAUUCUACUCUAUUGUGAUUUGUUAUUUAAAUAGUCAAACCGGGUUCCAAGUCUUCAAUCAGGUGAUUGGUUACUGUUAUGAUGCUAUUAUUAUUUUGUGAUGUGAUAUGAGACAGUCAAACUGGGUUCCAAGCCUUUGGCAGGGUGAUUGGUUACGGUUAGGAAUAGAGCUCUAGUCCGUCUGUCGGUGUAGGUCAUGAGAGGUACCUGAAGGUAUCUGGGACCCAUGGGUACAUAAAUUGUUGUUAUAGGUCAUGAGAUGUAUUUAUUAAUAUUUGGGACUCAUGUGUACAUGUGUUUGUUGUAGAUCAUGGGAAAUACCUUAUUGGUAUCUGGGACUCAUGGGUACAUGUAUAUUUGUAAAAGUAUUAGUUAUGUGGUUUUAACAUUGUUGUCAAUUAAAUUCUUUGUUUUAAGUAUCUCUUGAACUAUGCUUAAUGCAUGAGAUUCUUCAAUCUUAUCUGUGUGAUUUUUAGUAGAAUUCCUAAACUAUCCUUUUUGUAGGAUUCACUUAUGAUUUUGAUUGUUUUGGGAAUUGUUAUGUUUUUUUAUUUACUCUCUUUUGAAUUUUUUUGUUUGAGGCGAUUCCUAAACUAAGUUCCUAAAGCAGGAAUUACCGGUUUUAUCUUAUGUGAUGUUGGGUUGAGUUAUUUUUGGGAGUUACUCAUACGGGCUUUUUUGCUUACCGGGUUUGUUGUUUACAACCCGGUGCACCAAUUCAUGGUGUAGGGGUUAGACCUGCAGGUGAUGAUCAUCAUGGUUGAGGCGAAUGCAUAGUGGUAGGGUUUGGUAGACAACAUUAAACUCAUUCGAGUGUUUUCUUUUUUUUGGUUACACUCAUUUGAGUAUUUUCAUUUCUUGACUUUCAAGUUUAUGUAAACAAGGAAAUGUAAUAUUUAACUCGAUGUUGAGUUGUGUUGACAUUACAAUUCUGCAAUUGAGUUUAGUUUUCUUUAAGUUUGUUGAACAUGUCUUGAGAAUUAUGUUAUUGUGAGUUAUAUCAUGCCUAAAUUUUGAAAUUUAUCCUUUGAAAAUUGGGGUGUGACAUUAAGUACAAUAAUUUGUAUCAAUUUGAAAACAACAUUUUUCCAUUAUUGCUCUACGUUAUUUGAUACUUUUUUUUAUGGUAUGUUAUUGAUGCGAUUUUGCAUGAUUGCAUCGUAUCAUUGUAAUUCUUUUUUUAUUUCAAUAAAGUUUCUAACCUUCUUUCACUAUAUAAACAAAUCAUAUUAAUUAGUUUUGUCUUGCACUAAAGAUGUGCAUGUUUAGGAAGCAAAGAAAGGGGUAUUUUGGUCUAUUACUUAACACUUUUACCGUAAUACCUUGAGACGACUAUAUAAGAAUUUGCUAAAUGAAUUUUCUUUCAAAAUAUUAUCUAACAUAUAAGUCGUUCCAAUUGUUUACUACGUGUGAGUAGUGAUAAUGUCACUAUCAUAUGAAAAUAUAAAACAAAUUAAAUAAUUUUCAAUGCGUUUAGCUAAAAUGGCGAGGAAGUGUAUGAUGCUAUUAAGUUAUAAAAAUUCAAAUCAUUGACUCCAGCUAGCUAAGAGGGGCUUGGACGUUGCCAAUCCUGAAGGGGCAAAAGAUAUUAAUGGCGGCAUGUGUUGGUUAUUUGUUUUGUAUUUAUCUUAAAAUAGGCAGGUUGUAAGCAUCACAAUUCACAAGUGGGGAGCAUUAGAAAUGGAUGCGAUGCAUGAAGCAUGACUAAAACCACAAUUGUUAGGACUUAGGAAAGCGGGAUCAUAUCAAGCAUCACGAUUCCCCCAAUACCAAUAGGAAAUGAAACAAAAGGUUUGCCUUAGCUUAGCUUCUAAUUCCUGCAUUGGCAUAACGUUUAUGAAAGGUCAUCAUCAUCCACACCUAAUAUCAACUUUAUAUUUCUUGGUAAUUAUUUUGGUUAGUCUUUUGCUUCUGAAAGGAAUAAAAUCGACAAUAGAAGAAUGUCACCUGUGCUAGAAUUUGAUCCACAUGUGGCCAUACAAUAGCAAGGCCGCUGAGUAUAGUUUAUAUGAAGUAGUAAUUGACUUUCGUCAUUACACUCAUAAUAUUACUAAUUUUAUGUUUAAUAGACUCAAACAGUGAAGACCAAGUCGACAGUGGAUGCAAACGUAUUCGGGAAGAUAACCAUUAAUAUUGUACAAUCAUUUAAAGAUUACUCAAAUUUUGGUUAUUAUAACAAAUAAGUAUACUCUCGUGGAGGUCUCUAUGGUUUUUCUAUUCUGGGGUGAGUGACCUAAUAUCUUUAGUGAGGCUACUAAAUUAUUGUUGAAGAUUCAUUAUGGGAGAUAUUGAGAAGUCUGAAAUGAUUUUAGAUUUUUUAUUUUUAAUUUUGAAAUAGUCAGUUACGACUUUUAUAUAUUUUAGGUAAAACGAAGACCAGAAGUAACUAUUACACUAUCAUCUAUAAUAGACAAAUAGUUGUAAGGAUAUGAUAGAUUACUCUUUAAUCGUAUUCACUCAUAGGGCCCUCUUUAAUUGUAUUCACUCGUAUCCUAAAAGAUGAACCUACAGAAAAUAGAACAAAUUGAAACAAAACUAGAAACAAAACAAGACUAAAAAUAGUUAAUAAACUAGAGCCAAAAAACCCAAACCCAAAAGAUAGAGACCCUAUAAAACAGCACCCAGGGGAGAUCCACUUCUCCUCAACACCAGAUCGCCUCCAAACAUGGUUGUACCUCGUUCCAAAGCAAACCCCAAUCCAGCCCCAGCAACAAGAGACACCACCGAUUUAGACCGCUGGCCUCGCCGUCUAAGACAUUUCCUCAGGGAUCGACAUCGCAUCUGCAUAGCACACCCAUCACCGAACACUGCCCAACCAAAAACAACUGACAAAACCAAAACAAAACUCUCCUCAAACCACCCCAUUGAGCGAUAGAAGUCGACAAACCUCAAAUUAUUGAAGGAUAGAAUCGAAUCUGAUCAAAUCUGAUCCUCCUAACCCUUGUGCAUAGAACCACACCAAGGAAAGUCCAAGGGCAAUUGCACCGAUGCUCCCGUCCGACAGCAACCGAAAAGCCAGGCUGGAGGCCUGCUCCAGUCGCUGCCGGAUGAGACCCGAAUAGAUGAGUUGAGCUGCCGCCUUCUAUGGUUUAGGUGAUGUUAUUGAAAGGAUUCAAGAUUAAGCUAACAGCAAAGCAGGAAAUUCAACUCAACCUUGAGAAGCCUGCCACCAAAUAAACCAUAUUUCAGCAUCUAUUAUUUACCCAGAACCCAAGUUGUGGGAGAAAAACCAUGCACCAGAACUCAUAAUUCCUGUGUCACUUGAUCGCUUCUAAGACUACAAUCAGUAUUUUAGUUUACACCACCCUUUGGGACAAAUCGAGCUCAAUUGAAUCCUGAUAUUCAAAUUAAUCAUAAGCUUGACCUCGGAACAUUCUAACCUGGUUUAAAAGUUAAAAUCUUGUUUAAAAAUGUAACAGCAUCUCCAAUUCCAGUGUACAGUAACAACAUAGUAGAUGUUGCAACAGUAUCUUCGACUUCAAAUUGCAAAAACCAACCUUUCCGACCGUACAUAUCAGCCUGAAAACUUACUGAGCACCUAAACCCUAAAACAAGAUAAUAAUCAUUACCCACUAACUCCCUUCUUCUAAGUUCGAUAAUCACUGCCUCUCACGAACUGAGGCAACUAGAUUCCAAAUAGAACUCGUUUUCCACCAGCAUAAGCCUCAACAUCAAAGUUGAUGUGAUAACUAAGAUCUACAAUUAGUGCUCAAACACCAUAGGACUUCCCCUGCAUGCGCAAGGCCUAAGCAAACGUAUCCAGGAAGACAACCAUUUAUACUGUAGAAUCAUCUGAAGUUGCUCAAAUUUUGGUUAUAAUAUAUCUAUCUGAUUAACAAACAAGUAUACUCUUUAUGGUUUCUCUAAUCUGGGGGGAGUGACCUAACACCUUCUGUAAGGCUAGUGAAUUAUUAUAGUAAAUGUUUUUAUUUUUUAUUUAACACCACAAUCACCAAGAUCCAAACUAAAUUCAUUCUUUCUCUGAAUCCCAUUUUCGGAAGAUAUCUAAUCCCAUCAAGGAUCAGAAAAUAAUUGCACCCAGAUCACAACCAGAACAUCAUUGAUGGGAAAUGCCAACAAUCGUAUGCCAUUCAAAGUAAACACUCCCAAGUAAAAAGACCUUAGUAAGAAAUACCCACGAUAUCAGUUUCAUUGCCACAACGAGGUCACAAUUCACAAAAUAGCAUUCAUCUCCCCUGUUAGCCGUUGAACCUUUCUCUCUGCACACAUGCUUCAGAAAAACAGUUCAAUUCUGCUCAUCAGUUUUUGUCAACAAAUAACUAAACCAAACAGAAGGGGUACAAUCAUUGUAAGGGUACAUGAUUAACCUAAACCCUAAAUCCAACUCAACCUUGAGAACGUCUGCCAACAGAAUUCCAAAAUCAUGGCAACCCCCAAAAGAGAACCCAUAUUUCAGCAUCUGUUAUCUACCCACAACCGAGGUUGGCAGAAAAACCCUGCAUCAGAACUCAUAAUUCCUGCGUCACUUGAUCUCUUCUAAGACUACAAUCAAUAUUUAUGUUAGACCACCCUUUAGGACAAAUCCAGCUCAACUGCACCAUGAUAUUAGCUGUAGCAAGUUCAUAUUCUUAAUGGAUUCAUAUUAUUCAUAAGCUUGACCUCAUAGAACAUUCAAACCUUAUUAAAAAAUGUAACAGCAUCCCCAAUUCCAAUGUACCAUAAUAAAUCUCGUUUUCCAGUGGCAUAAGCCUCAACUUUAAAGUUGAUGUCAUAAGCAGACUAAAACUGAGAUCUACAAUUAGGGCUGAAACACCAUAGAGCUGCCACUGCAUGUAUUCCCAAGAAUUUAGCAAUCACAUCAGAAAACUCUUGAAGAAGUGAAAAUCACCCAUUACAAGAGAAACAAUCAGAGGGCAAGAAAAUGUUACAAAGGUGUAAAUCACCAUUGUUAGUGAAACAAGUAGAUGCAAGCUAUCUUGAUUAAGCAGAUGCAAGAGCAGGGGAUACAUAGGACACACUAUGAUGGAGGAUGAUAACUACGAGUCCAGAAAUUGCUUAGGCUGUUUGAGCUUACCAUAUUAAGCAAUUAAUAUGUUAUUUUCUAUUGAUCAUUCUAUCUACUAAACAAAACCUCAUCACAAUAGUAUAAUCAACUUUGGCAUCCUACCAGUUAUAGUACUAAAUUUUCAUCUCCAUGAGGUUGUAAUCUUGGAAAAUAAAAGAACUCAUAUGAACUAAGCAUCCUUCUAAAUCUAAUUAAAAUAAUUUCCCUUUAAUUUCCCUUCUAAACCCUAAACCCUAAUAUCAGCUACGGUAUACAGGAAAGGGCAACUUCAAAACACAUAACCAAAAUGACACUAAACUCGAAUAUCCAAACAAAUGAAGUAAAUAAGGGGAUAGAAAACACACUAUAAAUCCAACGAACUGAUAGAUUGUAUUCUUACUGAACUUCUUUUGUGUAGAUGCAAAAAACUAUAUCAAAUUUGUAAUAAGUAUUUGAAUUACAAGAACCAAGUAAUGCUAAUCCACUUGAGCUUUGUAAAUUUACUAUCUGUGACUUAAAUGCCGAGCUUUUAUAUCUAUCAACGAAUAUCAUGUGGGUCGUACAAGACGUGUUAAUUAACACUUUUCGCAUGCCAUUGAUUGAAUAUAUUGCACACAGGUAUCAUAACAGACACAUAAAUAAUAACAUAUGCAGGUUCACCUGAAAAUCAGUUUGGCUCCCUUCCUCAGUUGACCACAUAGGGACUGAAUCACAUGAAAAUCAAAACGAGAUAACAAUUCUCAUCAACAAUUGUCUCAGUAAUUAAACAGAAAAUGAAAAGCAAGAAGUAUAAAGAGCAACUAAGCUACCAUAGAGUAAACGGCAUUGCAUUAUCAGUUGUCCUCAGCAAUCUUUCAGAGAUGCCUAACUGAUGCUACACUGCUGCCUGGCAAGGUGGAUAAGCAGGCUUCUGUUACCAGGAACCACUAUGAUGGAGGUGACCCAGACACUGUAUACAUAAUACAGAUAGAAUAUAUAAAAGUAUGCAGCAGUGGCUUUAAAAAAUCUAUUUCUGCAUUAAAAUCUGAUUGAUAGCCAUGUUCUAACACAUAGCAAAAAGGAAAAAUAAAAAAGAAAUAACAAAAGCAAAAGAAGAAAUGAACAGGUAUCAGAAUAUCUUACAAAACCAAUAAACAGAAUAAACAUUCCAAACUAAUAUCAUCAUGAACAUCUUACUAAUUAUAAAUGGGCCUCAGAACUAAGCAAUAUUUAGAAACAAAAGACGACAGUAAAAAAAUUAAUUGUUCAGUACAGCAGGAUCCCUAUUAAAAUUUAGAUGAGCAUAAUCCUAUUCAAAGAAACUCACUUCCUUAGUUCCAGCUGAAGCAAAGAUAUCCGGGCCACUAAACCACCGUCAUGAGAAACAGUAUGUUGGGCAUUCUUUAAAGGAGUCUGUUGAGCUCCAAAUUUCUCAAUGCGUAAAGAUAGUGUCAUUACGUCUAGGUGGCCUAUCAGGAAUUGAACCAGGCUUGAACUUCGAGGCUUCAUGUUUUGCCAGUUCAGGAGGAACAUGACUGUUACUCUGAAUGAGCAUCUGCUUGAGAUCAUAAAAGACAUCAGUGUCGUGAAUUGUUAACAGUGAUGUGGCAAUACCAGUCUUCCCUGCACGUCCAGUACGUCCAAUACGAUGGGUGUAUGUUUCAAUACUCGAGGGCAUAUCAUAAUUAAUCACAUGGGCCACAUCAGGUAUAUCAAUACCACGGCCUGCAACAUCAGUUGCAACAAGGACAUUGUAUCUCCUGGUCCUGAAACCCUCAAGGCUAAUUUCUCUCUGGUCUUGUGAUUUCCCCCCAUGCAAAGUGGUCACACGAUAUCCGUUCUUAUCCAAACUCUUGGCUACAUAAUCAGCAGUUUUCUUAGUGUUAACAAACACAAUAGCAGUCUUAUCACCAAGUUCAUCAAGCAAUCUCUUUAGCCUCUCAAACUUCUCUGCAUCCUUACUCCAGACCACAUUCUGAGUGAUCAAAUCAGUAGUCUUUCCAGCUGUGCCAAUUGUGACCACAACAGGAUUCCUCAAAUACUUCCGAGCAAGGCGUUCCACCGCAGGAGGCAUGGUGGCACUAAACAUAUAAGUGGUUCUGUAAAUCUUCUUGUCAUCAAGCUCUUCAUCCUCAUUCUCAGGUUUGAAAUUGCUGGAAGGCAUUGCAUCCAAAACACCCACAACCUGUGGCUCAAACCCCAUAUCAAUCAUCCUAUCAGCCUCAUCAAGAACAACAUAAUUGCACUGAUUCAAAACAGCAUAACGCCUCUCCAAACAAUCAAUCAACCGCCCAGGUGUAGCAAUAACAACCUCACACCCUUGCCUAAUUUUAAAACCCUGUUCCUCAAUUGACUGUCCACCAACAAUAGAAACAACUUUAAUACCCAAGUAAUGCGCAAACUUCACAGUCUCUUCCUCAAUCUGCUGUGCAAGCUCACGAGUAGGUGCCAUAACAACAGCAUAAGGCCCUUCAGCCUCAUUCUCUUCGCUAAUAGGAGGCAACCUAGAAAUAUAUGUCAACAUCGGAAGAACAAACGCAGCAGUCUUACCAGAACCAGUCUCCGCAAUGCCAAUAACAUCACGCUGCUGCAGACCCAGAGGAAUAGCCGCCAUCUGGAUCGGAGAAGGUUUCUUAUAACCAGCCCUCUCCACAGCCUUGAGCAGCUCCGUACUCAGUCUACUCUCACCCCAACUCCUCAUAGGGCGAGGAAUCCUAGACCCUUUGUAGGAAAUAUUGAAAUCCUCUCGGAAUAUCCUCCAGUCCCUCUCAGUCAUCUCCUCCAGCUUCUUAUCAGUCCAAUGCCGAUCCACUCUCAUAUCGAAAGUAUCAUACAGCUCCGCAGCCUCCUCCUUCAGCCUCUGAGCCGCAGCCUCCUCCGGCCUCUCCUCUACGCCAUCCUUCUUCCUAAUCUCAUCCCUCAGCUCCCUCUCCUGCUUCACCGCAAGCUUCUUCUGCUCCCUGCGGUCCAUUCCAGCACGAAACCCUCGCCCGAACAGGAGCUGAGCCUCAUGAGGAUUCUGAUACAAAGCAUUCAUAUCACGCGAAGUGUCCUCUGUGUUCUCCCAAUCGAAAGAGAAUCGGAACUUCUCGCUAGGCUUAAUCACGCGCUUCUUCGGCUUCUUCGAGCCAAGGUACUGCUCUUUAAUGGCCUCAAGCUCCUUAUCACGCUCCCGGUCAGCUAGCUUGUCCAAUCGGGCCCGCUCUCUCGCUUUGGCCUCCUCUUCGCGCUCCCUCUCGCGGUUGUCACGGUCACGGUUGCGCCGCUCCGUUUCGCGCUCCCGGUCUCUCUCCCGGUCGCGAUCUCGAUCGCUUCGGGAGUACCGGUCCCGGUCCCGGUCCCGGUCUCUGUCUCUGUCUCUGUCUCGGUCCCUAUCGCGGUCCCGGUCGGAAUUGGAGUUGUUGGGGACGGAAUCGGAGGAGCGGAGAUUGGAGAGGAGCUGGUGCUGGCGGCGUUUCUGUUCCUCGUGUUCUUCUUGGCGGCGUUGUAGGGCUAGCUUCUCGCGCUCGGCUUUGGUUAAGAAGACGGGUUUCUUCGGCGGCAAGGAUGAAGAGACGGCGGCGAGGCCAUCGCCGGAGCGUUUCAUUGUACAGAAAAGGUUUAGGGUUUCGGGAUAAAAUUAAAUUUCUGAUGUUGUUUCGAUGCCUUCGGGAGCCUUGAAGAAAAUUGAAGAGGAUCGGAGUUUAAGUUUAUAUAGUGCGACACUGGGCUGCAUCAAAAUGGGCCGCCAAAAUGGAAAAUGGGCCUGGGCCUCACAACAGUUUUUGCAGCAACACAAGUAAAAUGCUCCAUACUCGUAAUCGGAAUAAAAAUAUAAAGGAUGCUGCUAAAUGUAUCAAACAAAUUAAGAUAGAGGAGAGGUCGAGAAGAGAGGAGCUCCAAAAAAUCUGGGCUUCAACAACAUCUAGGGCUUGUGAGUUCGAUGCUCGUUCGGCGGCUCCCGUCUUAAUUUGGGCUUGCUACUGGAUGGGUGAUGGAAUUAUAAGGGCUUCUGGGGAUCGUGGAUGCUGUUUGCUCGAGGUUCCAUUGUUGUUUUAGCAUCAAGUUUUGUGAUGGCAGCUCAUGGAAUGGAGGGUGGAGGUUGUACAAUGGCGGCGUUCUCCUCGUGGCCUCCCAAUUUCGGCAACGGAGAGAGCCUUGGUUCUCUGUGGCGGCAGCUUGGAGUUUGGCGGUGCGGGUUCGGUGGUACGCGUCAUCGAGUUAUUGUGUUCUCUACUGACGGCGUGGAUCUCAUAAGGCUCGACUGACUACGAGCAACGGUGGAUUGCGGUAAAGCGCGUGGUCAAAGGCGACGACGAGGCUCGUGGACGGAGAAGACGGCGGAGCUCGUGAUCGGUGGAGUUGGCGGUGUUGUAUAGUGGGAGAUGUAUCCAGGCCUGAGUCAACAACAUUGGGCUUUGAGCUCGGCCUUAUUCAUGUGUCCUUGGGCUACUAUGGUGGGCUAGGGUUUCUCUUAGUCCAAUUCUUUAUUUCUUAGUGCUUUGGGUGGGGUCUUGUUGUAGGCCCACUUUUAUUUCUUUUUUCUUUUUAGAUAGUUUGUUUGUCUAAUAAUGCUCAACAUUUGGGUGAGUGUAGUGGGUCUUGGCCCUGUAUCCCUUGUUCAAUAGUUAAUAUAUAGUCUAAACCAAUUUCACCAGUAUUGAUGUACACCAUAAAAGUCUCUAAGCGGAUACACUGCUGGGUUAAAUUAUGUGCUAUCUUUGUUCAAGGUUUAAGAGUCAUUGUCAAAUGUGCAGUCGGUGCACUAGUUACAUGAGUACGUAGUGGAUGUAAUAUGUGAUCUUCGGAUCCCUUAGAUUGAACGAGAGAGCUCAUUGAUUUGUAUGAUCUUUUUCAAUUAAUGAAGUUAUCAAUUUCCUUCACACACAAAAAUGUACCCAGAAAAUUUGUAAAUAGACCCAACAACAUAAUUUUUG